rnacentral:lncRNA from 1 species
GGGCCGGUAAUAUUUUGAAGGCAGCUAGGUAUUGAACCGGAAAGUGAGUUAUAUGAUAAAUCUAACAAACUCACGUCACUUAAUUGGCACAACUGCUUGGGAAUAGAUCCGGUAAAGUUAUUUUUUCUCAAAAGAAGAAUCCUUAAAUCGGAUAGUUCGCCAAUAAAUUUAGGAAUCCUACCUGACAAGUUGUUGUUGCCAAUGUCCAAAGUCAAAACUUCAGUCAAAUUACGAAAGAAUUUGGGUAUUGAUCCAGUGAAUCUAUUGGAACCCAAAUGAAGAUGCUUCAUAUAUUGCGAAUUGAAACAGGAUGGGAUGGGCCCAGAGAAAGAAUUUUGUGAGAUAUCGAGAAAAGAGAAUGAAGCUACUCCACAUGGAAAAAUGCCUUCAAAACUAUUAUUUCUCACCACAAGUUCAGACAACAUACUCAUGUUGCUUAUCCAAUCGGGGAUCAUACCUGUGAACAAGUUAUUGCUAAUAUCCAGAGUAAUCAGAAGAUCAUAUCCCUUGCUCUUAGUUCCAAUUUUCCCUUUGAAAUGGUUGCCAUCCAAGUAAACAUAUUGGAGGCUACUCAAGCUUAAGUUUCCUGAGAGUACCUGGCCAUGCAAACUGUUAUUUGAUAGUUUUAACAAAUUCAACUUAGAGAUGUUUGUCAACAAUCCUUUUGACACUUCUCCUGAUAACUCAUUGUUAGAUAGAUCCAGUGUCUCUAAUUCACUCAAUUCACUAAUUGAGGAUGGGAUAACACCACUUAAGCUAUUCAUGGACAAAUUCAAAUACUCUAUGUUGGGAAAGAACUCUGGUAAUUUGUCAGGAAUAGUAACUAUCAUGCCAUUUCCAGACAUAUCCAACCACUUCGUAUUAGCAUUCCUAUACAACGGCAUACUGUCAAAGGAGUUGUUCCUUAGACGAAGAACUUCCAAAUUCUUAUUGUUUUUAAUCAACCAAUUAGGAACUUGUCCCUCCAAGGAGUUGUGAGACAUGUCUACUUGCUGUAACUUGCGUUGGUGAAGUAGAAACCCAGGAAACAUUUUCAUAUUACAAUUAGAUAGCUCAAGAAUUUCCAACUGGAACAUUGGAAUCCAGCCUAUAGGCUCUUCUGUUAACACCUCAAAUAUGUCAUUAUCGCUUCUGAAUCGAACGACCUCAAGCUUUAUAUGAUUGGAGAAGGAGCUGAACAAGAACGAACCUUCAAAUUUGUUAUGACUAGAAUCAAUGUAUUCGAGAGAUGUAAGAUUAGCAAUGAGUGAUGAGACAAGUAUCCCUGAAAAUUGAUUUGAAGAAAUAUCCAACAGCUUAAGAGAUGAUAGAUUUUUCAAACACCGAGGCAGAGUUCCAUGGAGCAUGUUGUGACUAAGAUCCAACUCAUUGAGGUUCUUCAACUCACACAAGCCUGUCAAACGAGAAAAAGAAAGGUAUGUGUAAGCCAUGAAACUCAAAAGAUAAGUUACAAAAGACUAACCUUCCAAAAAUAUAUGACUUCCAUUUGCAUGGUCAAAAAGAUCAACAACUGAGGAAAGGUAAUAUUACAAAGGGAAUGCACUGAUGUAGCCCUUGAUGUUUUGGUUAUAGACGAGUGACUAAAUGAUAACAGAAUAAAAUACUACUAAUUGCUUUAAAUUGAGCAAUCUCAAUACUAAAAGCAAUUUUGCCUUCACCACUAAUAUGAACAUUGUGCAAGAGUUGCUGCCAAAUUAUAUCUCAUGAUACAAUGAAGCAAAAUAUAUAGUAUCAAGUUUUAUAUGUGCUGAAAAUUCCGUAACAGCCAUGCUAUUCGCAUUGUUGCGUUUAUAUAUUUGUUCUAAACAAUAAUCGCAACGAUCAAACGUGCCUGCUUUGAUAACUACCAUUAUUUGCAUGGUCCUACGGCUCAAAAAGAUUAACUUACCAUGCAUGCUUUAUAUAACUUACCAUGAUCCGGUAAUGAGCCAUUGAGCUGAUUGUAUGCGAAUGAGAGAGCUCUUAGGGAAGAUAAUGCUUGAAUUGUUGAUGGGAUGCUACCAACAAAACUGUUUCCACUCAAAUCUAAGACCUUUAGAUGGUGGAAAGAUGCAAAAGCUGGAUGAUAGAUAACAAGAGAGGGUUACAUAUAAACAAAUUGAAGCUAGAUAAGGUCCACCUCUGUAAUCUUUCAGCUUUGGAUGAGUUCUUAAACCAAUAUAGUUUUAAAUUAUGUAAUGACAAAAAAUCGUUACCUUCCAUUGGUAUUACUCCAUAGAAAUAAUUAUCUGUCAAGAGAAGGACUUCCAAAUCAGACAAAUUAAGGAAUUCUGAAUAAGAUAGAGAGACAUAUCAAUCAGUUUAAUUAAACAAGUAGCAAAAAUGGAAAUUAAUAAAUAAUAUUUGUAUUUAAUUUCUUUAUUGACUCUUUUUAAGAUAAACAUGCCUUGGACGGGAAAGAAACUUCCCAAUGAACAGUAAGAAAGAUCAAGAUUCUUGAGGGAUGGGAGGACACUUAGGCAUGAUAUGACGCUCUUGUUGAUGCUGUUGCUUGAAAGAUUGAUACUCUUCAGCCUUUUCAAUCUCAAUACGGUCUUACAAGCUGUAAAAUGGAAAGUAAUUCUUAGAGAAAACAUGUAAUGGUCUUGUAAAGUUUGUAAUUAUGGAAGAAUUAUGACCAAUUGGCAUUUAAAAACUUUAACUUUUCUAUUAUUCAAAACUUACCAGGUGUAACAGAAGCUUAUGAUUCAUUUACCUUGGAUAUUUGGUGUGUCAUUGAGCUGGGUAGAACUUAAAUCCAGCUCCUCCAGGUUAGUGAGAUGUGAUAAUUCUGUAAUAUGAAAGAAAAACACAUAUAUAUCAUGUAUUAUGCAUGUUAUUUUCAGAUUUGGAGCAUUAUAUGUUCAUUAGUCUUUCUACAUCAUUAUAUAUUAUAAGUAGGCAGCCUUAUUUAGAGAGUAAUUUCGGUCCAGCAAAAUAUGCUAGUUCUCUUUGACAAACUGUGCAACAUUGCAACCAGUGAUCACGGUUUAUCCCUCGUCUUCCUCAAAACCGUAAAUCCCUAAACCAAAAUCAAAACUCAAAUCCAUUCACCAAAAUCAUCACCAACUCCUGACUAAAUCAAAAACCCAAAUCCUAGGGUCUGACAAGGGUUAUGGAAAGUGAAACCUCGUAUCUUAUUCAAUUCAAAUUAAUAUUACAUCAGAUCACUUUAUAUAUAAUAGAAUAUUACAUUUAGGUACCCUCUACUUAUUAUAAAUAUAAAACACAGUCUAACAUUCCCCCGCAAGUUGAGGGCAGGAAACGACCUGCAACUUGGAUCGUAAGAAUUGGAAUCUCUGAGAGGAUAAAGGUUUUGUAAAGACAUCUGCGAUCUGAUCACUCGUAGAUAUGAAUUGAACAUUUAGUUGACCUCUUGCUACCUGUUCACGAACAAAGUGAAAAUCAACUUCAACAUGCUUAGUACGAGCAUGAAACACAGGAUUGGCUGAGAGAUAGGUAGCUCUGAGAUUGUCACACCAAAGAAUAGGAGGAGAUGUAACUGAUAUGCCAAGCUCACGCAAAAAAGCUUUCAACCAAAUCAACUCUGCAGCAGUAUCAACAAGCGCUUUGUACUCGGAUUCAGUUGAAGACCUUGAGACCGUCUUUUGUUUACGAACAGUCCAGGAGACAAGAUUUGAUCCCAGAUAGAUUGCAAAUCCCCCGGUGGAUCGACGGUCGACUGGGCAGCCAACCCAAUCAGAAUCAGAAUAGGCUUGAACAGGUGACGAGGCCAAAUCUUGCCAAUGAGCAUCUGUAAAAGCCUGUAGAGAAGAGCUUGACUGGUGGCGAAUCAAGAGACCAAGAUCAGUUGUGCCUUUCAAGUAACGCAAGAUACGUUUAACAGCAGACCAAUGGUUUUCUGUUGGAGCAUGCAUAAACUGACACACCCGGUUGACAGCAAAAGCAAUAUCCGGACGUGAUAAGGUGACAUACUGUAAGGCUCCAACUGUUUGACGAUAUGUAGUAGGAUCCAAUAGAGGAGAGCUAUCAUCAGUAGUCAUUGACUGAGAGGAACUUAUCGGAGAGCAAGCUGGCUUGCAAUCAGAGAGACCGGACCGUUGAAGGAUCUCAAGAAUAUAUUUCCUUUGAGAUAGCACAAUGUUUUGCUGAUGAUGAACAACUUCGAUGCCCAAGAAAUAAUGAAGUGGACCAAGAUCUUUAAUGGCAAAACUGGAGUUUAGACGAUUGAUAAUGCUACUUAUAGCUGCUUGGUUGUUACCGGUGAUGAUAAUAUCAUCCACAUAAACGAGGACAUAAGCAAGAGUACCACCAGAAUUGAGAAUAAACAGAGAUGGAUCAAUUUUGGAUCCUAAAAAACCAAGUUGAAGUAGAACUGUGGAUAGCCGAGUAAACCAUGCCCGUGGGGCUUGUUUGAGCCCAUAGAGAGACUUGUGCAGAAGACAAACAUGGUCUGGUUUGGUUGGAUCAACGAAGCCAGGAAGCUGUUUCAUGUAAACUGUUUCUUGUAAGUCACCAUGUAGAAAUGCAUUUUUCACGUUUAAUUGGUGUACAUCCCAUUUGUUGGCCACGACAAGAGACAGAAUAACCCAAAUGGUCGUUGAUUUGAUGACAGGGCUAAAUGUCUCAUGAUAGUCAACUCCCGGUUGUUGAUGAAAGCCCUUGGCAACAAGGCGUGCUUUGUAACGAGUGACAUUUCCCUGUGGAUCCGUCUUUACCCUGUAUACCCACUUACAAUCAACGAGGUUAGUAUUUUUAACAUAAGGAACUAGAGACCAUGUGCCAUUAUUUUGAAGUGCUUGAAACUCCUCAUUCAUGGCAAGACGCCACUCCGGCGAUUUGUUAGCAACGGUAAACGAAGUGGGUUCGCUUAAUGAAGGGGAAACACGAGUAGAGGUGUAAGUAGAUGGAUCAAAUGGAAUUUUACGUUUGGGAUUUUGACGCAAAUUAGGGGGCCGAGACCUAGGAGGAGGAGGAGGAGGAGGUGGGGAUUGUGAUGUAGGGGCAGUAGGUAAAGGAGUGGGAGAGGGUGAUGGAUCAGUGGAGAUGAGAUCAGGAACCACUAUGGAGGUGGUGUGGGAAAGACAGUAAUAUAGGGAUUACGUGAGGGGGUGGUCGGUGGUGGAGGAGAGUAAAAAAGGAAAACAGUUUCGUUGAAACGAACAUGUCGAGCAAUGUAUAUGCGUUCCGUUUGGGGAUCAAAACAACGAUAGCCAUGAUGUAUAGGGCUAUAACCAAGGAACACACACGGAGUAGAACGAAAAUCAAGCUUGUGGCGGUUAUAGGGACGAAGAUAGGGAAAACAUUGACAACCGAAAACAUGAAGAAAUGAAUAAUCAGGUUUUCGGUUGUAAACUUGUUGAAAAGGGGAUUGAUUUGAUGAAAUCCUGGAUGGGAGCCGAUUUAUAAGGUAAACAGCAGUUUCAAAGGCAAACUGCCAAAAGCGUUGUGGGAGAUGGGAUUGGGCAAGAAGGGAAAGACCAGUUUCAACAACAUGGCGAUGACGACGCUCAACAAUCCCAUUUUGUUCACUAGUAUGAGGACAGGAGCGUCGAUGAAUGAUGCCAAGAUUUGUGAAGAAUGAUGCCAAGAUUUGUUAGAGCUAAUAGGAUUUAGUUGAUAUCCUAACUGAGAGGCUAACAAACUUAAGCUGUUAAGUUGAGACUGAAUGGUUGUGAUAUCAGGUAAGGAAUCAGAUGGAGUUCCUCCGGUAGCAGCAACAAACACUUGUGGCUAGGCAGUAACAGGAACCGUGGCUGAUCUGUUGAUCAUGUAAUCGUGAUCAGAUAAAAUACCAUGCAGGUCGCUGAAGGUGCUCGGUGGAUGGUGGGCCAGAAGAUUCGAUUUUAAACCGUUGUAUUCAUCUCGCAAGCCUGAGAUUGUAAGCAUAACCAGAUCUUUGUCCUUCAUGGGUUCACCAAUAUUAGCAAAGGCAGAGGCAUAUUCCAUUGCUCAGCUAAGAUAUGUCAGUGGAGGUUCAUCACUUUUCAUCUCUAUGCGAAGUAACUGUGUUUUUAAGGUGUAUUCACGGGAAGCAGAGUUUGGUGCAUACGCACGUUCUAAUGAAAGCCACAAAUCUCUAGAGGUCGUACCUUGAACAUGUUGGAAAGAUGCUUUAGAGAUGGUAGAUAGAAUUAUCAUUCUUACAUGUGCAUCAUUGGAAACCCAACGAGGAUAACUAGGGUUAUCAGUUGUUGCAUCUGUUGUGGUAAUUUUCUGUUCUGGACAUUUGAUGGUACCAUCCAUAUAACCGAUCAAGUGAUUAGUGAUUAGGAAUGGUUCUAGCAUUGCCUUCCAGAAACCAUAGUUGGUAGGAGAAAGAGUGAAUGCAAAUUUGUGGGUAUUGUGGGCGGUUAGCCAUGUUUAGAUUGGAAGAGAAAUUGAGAUGGUGGAGAAGAUGUCGCCGAUUUAGGGUUGGAGGCGGCAGAGGGAACUUGGCUCUGAUACCAAGUGAAACCUCGUAUCUUAUUCAAUUCAAAUUGAUAUUACAUCAGAUCACUUUAUAUAUAAUAGAAUAUUACAUUUAGGUACCCUCUACCUAUUAUAAAUAUAAAACACAGUCUAACAUGGAAGUGGAUCUCAUGCUAUGGUGGUAGUGUUGGAGGUGGGUAAUAAAUAACAAAAAAAUAAAAUGGUAAUCCGUUAACCAGAUCACUACCAUCAUGGAUUGUAUAAAUUGGUCUUAUUAUGAAACGUUGGUACAUAAGUACAAAUGGUAGGUAAAUUGUAAACAAAAUGAAAUCGAUUAAAUUCAUUUGAUUUGAAAAUUAUACUCUUACUACUUUAAAAGGAACUAUAUACAUGUAUAAGUACAAAUGUAAGGUAAUAAAAAAUGUACAGUCAUAGCACGUACCUUGAGCUGGAAAUGGUCCUGACAUUGAAUUGUCGCUAAGAUCCAAGCUUGUAAGCGAUGAAAGGGUAUUUAAAGAUCUUAUGAUGCUUUCGUUAAAGCGGUUGUGUGCAAGAUUUAAAGUUUUCAACUUCCUCAAUAUGGAAACCCUCUCAGAACCUACAUUUAUGGAUUGAAGCAAUUGGAUUUAUAAGCUCUAGUUCCAUAAAACAACAAAGUUGUUUAAGAGAACAUAUACAAGCAUAUAUUUAUAUCCAAAAAUAUAAUACUGUUAAGCUUUAGUUAAAAAAAAAAAACUAAGUCCUCGUUGCAAGUUUUCUUUGUCCCAAGAAAAGAAAAGGGUCAUAUUUCAAACUUCAACACAUGAAAUAGUCAUUCUGCUAUAUAUGGUCCUGUAAUCUUGCAAAAGGGGGGUUCGUGUAAAAUCCAAGGCGGCUAUAUUGGCAUGGUGGUUUUAUGAUGAUAUUGAUUUACCUUGAAUCUCAAAGGUACCAUUGAAGCCACAGUGGCUUAGAUCCAACAUCUCCAAGUUCUCUAAAGCAGCAAAUUCUUCAAUUCAUUUGAAAAGGGUGUAAGUAUCUUUAAAACACGCAUUUGUGGUGCAUGAUAACGUUUAAAAAAAAAAAAAGGUGCUACUGCUAGGAAAUUAUCUAUUCAAGCUAGUGUGACUAACAUCCAAGAUUUCGACUGAAGUGAGUGUCCUCAAUCUCAAUGAUGGAGUUAGCUGGGGUCUAUCCAACUCCAAAGCACCUUUUCCAUUAAUUGUAUCUAGUUAGACCUACGAUUGCAGCCAUUACAUGUUUACACCAACAUUUUACAUUAAAAUUAAAGAUGUAGGCAGGCCCUGUCCCCUGCCUGAAGAUAGAAGGACUACUUCCAUAGAAACAAAAGACGUGAGCCCACACCGGAUUAUCUCCUUGGCCCACAGGAUAAUAUUUCUGUCUACUGUUAGAUUAAUAAAUAAUCAUUACAAUCCCAUACGCAUCACAUAUACACUGAGACAUGUAUACUCAGUUUCUUGGACUUUAUUGCUCUUUUUCCAAAAAAUUACAUAUCAUACCACUAGCUAUUUGAAACAUAAACAAAAGCCCCCAUAUAGACAUGACAACAUCCACAAACACUACAUAAAUAUAUGAUGGUUGUCUCAUUGUUAACUAAACUAAUGCAACUGAAAGACUUGUAAUGAGUGAAGAUCACAUAUAGACAUGACAACAUCCACAAACACUACAUAAAUAUAUGAUGGUUUACUGCUAUGAACUCACGCAAUCAAUCAACGAUUCAAUAAACACUCAAAGAUGAAGUAAGAAAAGAUAAUCAAAAUCAGUACUCAAAUACUUUCAUAAGAUUGAAAAUAAGGGUUCAUGGCAAUUCGAGAGUGCCAGAUCUCUCCCAAAAGGUACAAUAACCUGAUUUCACCAAAAAUAUGAUAUUCUCCUCUCCCACUAUUUGCUAAAUACUGCUCUGAUAGAAAUAAAACCUAAAUUGCCUAAAUUACUCUUUCCACUAUUAAAGAUGCCAUUAUCAGUUUAUUGAUUUUCCAUAACUACCCUUACUAGAAUAUAUGAGGUGUAGCAUUUACUUGUGUCUAAAAAUGAUACUCCAACAACUUUGGAAAGAACUAUAUACAGGAAUAGCACAUACCUUGAGCUGGAAAUGGUCCUGACAUUAGACUGUGGCUAAGAUCCAAGCUUGUGAGCGAUGAAAGGGUAUUUAAAGAUCUUAUGAUGCUUUCGUUAAAUCUGUUGCCCGCAAGAUUUAAAGUUUUCAACUUCCUCAAUACGGAAACCCUCUCAGAACCUACAUUUAUGAAUUGAAGCAAUCGGAUUUAUAUAUGGUCUUGUAAUGUAGAGAAAGGGGGGAUUUGUGCAUUAAUCCUAGGCGACUAUAUUGGCAAGAUUGUUUUAUGAUGAUAUUGAUUACCUUGAACCUCAAAGGUACCAUUGAAGCCACAGCUGCUUAGAUCCAACAUCUCCAAGUUCUCUAAAGCAGCAAAUUCUGCAAAUCAUUUGAAAAGGGUGCAAGUAACUUUAAAACAAGCAUUUGUGGUGCAUGAUAACUUAAAGAAGGAAUGAAAAGAAGAAAACAUGCCACUGAUUGGAAAGUUUCCAUUCAAGCUAGUGAAGCUAAGAUCCAAGACUUUGAGUGAAGUGAGUGUCCUCAAUGAUGGAAGGAUGCCGUUGUCAAUAUCAUAAUUCCAACUGAGGUCUAGUACCUCCAACUUCUUCAAACUCGACAGCCUUUCAAGUCCUGCAAAAGAGAAUUCUUUAACACAAACAUCCUAGUCUUAAAUAUUAAAAAGAUGUAGUAUGAAUUGCAAGAUCUGAAGUACACAUAAAGUCUUGUAUUUGGUCUUUUAUACUAUAUAGAAAAGUAUUAUCCAACUACUAAUUACCUAAGAAGAGUCUUUGAGUGCAUAAAUAAUAAAUUAGUUGGAUGUUGUGUUCAUGGAUUUGAACAGAUCAACUUACUCGAAUGUUUUACUAAAAAAAUAUGAUGUUGGAACCAUGUGAAAGAAAUACUAAUUAAAGGAAUUAAUCGCGUUGUACGUACCUGUCUUAAUAAACUCUUUAUCAAGAAAAUUAUCUGACAAAUUGAGACUUGUCAACUCUUUAAAAUGAAGAAACAAGGAAACAUUCAAUGGCCACAACUUGUUCUCAUCAUCCAUGUAAACAUCUUUUGCCCCUCUUAAAUUGUACAAAGAGAGUUCUGUCACAUGCCCUGUUGUUGUGCUGCAGUUGAUCCUCUCCCAAUCACAACAGUUGUUGCCACCAUCACCAGGUGUACCACUGCCAUAAUCAACCCAGGUAGGGAGAAAUUUGUCAAUUUCAGAAUCAUAUGACUUCAUAUGGGAGGCUUUGAUUUCCAGUAGUGCCUUUCUCUCCUCUUCUACACAAUCCCCUUGUGUAUGCCCAGCCACUAGAAUAUGUAUCAUCAUUAACAUCAACAAUGAAUAUUGCAAUGAUUUCCGCUUACUACAAGCCCAACAUUCCAUUUUAGUAGCAAAUGGUGGCUUUGUAGAGACACUCACAACAUUAAACUUCCGGAUAGAUUUGGUUGCUUAGCUUUGCUUGGUAAACAUUUGAUAUAUGAUGAAAUGAAUAUGUAUGAACGCUCAAAAUUUCCACACAUAAGUCAUCAAGUCAAUGCUCAAAAUUUCCACACAUAAGUCAUCAAGUCAAUGGUAAAAAUUCAACACAAAACUCUAUUCCAUCUAUUCCAAUAUUCCAUUGUCACCCACUCCUUCAACUAAACAUUUAAGACAUGGCAUUUGUUGACUUUUCAACAAACUUCCAAAGUCUCCAUCCACAUAGAAUAUAAUAGGUUUAUUAAUUUUUUUUUGCGCAAUUACUUUAGAAAAACGAAAUAUUUAUUAACUAAAAGAAAACAAAACCCAGAUAUCAUACCUUUGUUUACUGGUAAUGACCAGACUCGCAAACCUCCUUGCGAUUUCCACGGAUGGAUUUUAUCAAUUUCUGGUAAACAGCCAAUUGAGAGCCAUUGCUAGAGAUCACAGUAGCCGACAUUGAAACCUGCUUCAGUGAAUUUGAAAUUGCAAUAACCAUAACAUGAUGAGUAGGCCUUUCCCCCACUAAGUAAUUGUUAUGUGUCCAUUGUUUGGAUGGGAUAAUUACUUAGUGGUCUAUUUUAAUUAUUGCUUUUUUUUCCUGUUUACUAAGAAGUUAGGAUUGUGCUAGAAUAAAGGGCAAAGACCUUUUGUUGGGAAUAUAGCAGAAAAUUGCUCCAAAACCUUCUCUCUUAACUUCCUCUGUUUCUUUCUCACUGUCAUUCCGAUCGAUCCACAUCAAUAAUCAUUUUCACCACCACUCACCGACGACGUUGAUGGUACAGGGUCUCGGCCCUCGAUUUAGAGGGGUGUGUGGCAGUGGUUAGAGAGUGAAGGCAGGGGCGAGAUGGGGUUGUCAUAGUGGGUUCGUUAAACGGGACUUUGUCAACGGAAGGGGCCAGAGCCCGGAGGAUAGACAGAGGGGUUGGGGAUUUUAAAGGGAAAGGGAAAUGGGAACGGGAAAGCUAGUUUUGAUGGAGCCGUAAAAAUCAAGUGUUACCAUUAUUUUUUAAAAAUAAAAUAUUUAAGUUACGAACAAAAUAUAUUAUAAAAAAAUAUAAUAAACUUUUGUUUUUUGAUUUUUAUAUGUUGUAUAUGUGUAUAUUUUAAUUUUUAUAAUUUUAGUCUAUAUUCUAAAUUUUGUUAUGAAUUUUGGUCCGAAAUUUUUUUGAAAUUAUUUUUCUUUUACGAAAUUAUAUACUUAUUAUUUUUUUUUUUUAAAACUUUUUAAAGGCAUUUUUGAAAUUUUUAUACACUAUUUUGAAUUCUUUUACAACCUUUUAAAACUUGUAUUAUAAUCUCUUUUUAAAUUUUUCUUUACACUUCUAUGUAACGUUUUUAUAGUCUUUAUUGUCUUUUAAACUUGAACUACAAUUUUUAAAAAUAUCUUUCUUAUACAUUUGUACAAUUAUUUCGAAGUUUUUCACUCACAAUUUAUGUUGUGUAAUGUAUUUUUUAUUACACUUUUGUUAAAAAGAUGUUUUAAACAAGUUUUUUAAAAAAGAACAAUAAAAAAGUUUUAAACAAAUUUUUUACAAAAGAAAAUUUUUAAAUUUGUAAAAUAAUUGUUAUAGAAUGCAACAAGUUCAAACAUUAGUGCAACGUCCCAAAAAUUCAUAGUAAUUAUUUUUUUGUUUUGUUUUUUAAAAGAUAAACCAUACAAACAAGUUGUUCCAAGACCAAUCAAAGUGAAUAUAUUAUUUAAACAUUAGAGUAAAAAAUCACAAAUAGUCACUGCGAAAACUCUAGGGAUGAUGUGCAGUCAGGCCGGACAUUUCCCUUUCGUACCGAAAGUACCUGAAACCAUAAACAUAAAACUGUAAGUACAAAGCUUAGUGAGUUCCCCAAAAUAUCACAUAUCAUACAUACAAUAGAGAUUGAUAUGUGUCAUCCAUAGUCUCAUAAUUGUCAUUAUGCCAUGAGCUGUAACAUGGUCUUUCCUUGCCAAGCCGGGGCAAAAACCCGAGUCUUAUAGGCAAGUGCCAAGAGCCACAUCUUGGUUUUCCAUGCAUGUAUCACAAAGACAACUAGCAUACUACAUAUAACUACCAGGAGUCCAAAUCCUGGUCUUGCAUACAAUUUGCCGGGAGCCACCUCCAAGUCUUUCAUACAAUUUGCAGGGGCCACCCUAGUCUUCCUAUGUAACAUAUAUCAAUGGGUCGGCAAUGGUGUCUUUGACCCCCAAGUAUAUUGAGGAGACUCACCUGAACCACAAAGCCGACUAAAAACCCAACUCAACGUCGCAUCGACCGCAACUAACAACUCACCGCCAAAAGAUGGGUGUUGAACACCUCGUAUCAAUCCACACAUGGUAAACCCUAAGUUUACCUUCUAAAAAUAGAAAUUUGUGAUGGGUUUGAGCCAUAAGAACUUUCCUAUGUGCACAUGCAAACCCUAAUGCUUGGAUCUAGGUUUCUCUAAUUGAACAUGCAAUGUAUCCAAGACUUCUAUUGAUAGAUCUAGUAUAAACAUUCAAAUCAUAACAUAAGAAAACAGAUCUAAAGGAGUACCUUGAGUUGCUUGCUUGAAUCUUCUUGUCUUUGGAGCUUAGAGUCACAAUUGUCACUCCUCUAAUGGCUUACAAACACUAACUAGCAAGAGGAUGAUGAUAGAGAGAGAGAGAGAGAGGAGGGUGAGAAAAUCGGCUCUAGGGUUUCUUGGGAUACAAGAGUGCCGAUUUCCUCCACCCAAAGGGUCUAUAUAUACUAUUGGCUACUAGGGUUACGUCCUCACAAGACCUAGGCUCUGAUACCAAGUGUUGGAUUCAACUUUGAUGAAUCCCCUGUUAUGAACAAGGAAGAAGAACGACAAACAAAGGAAUCAAAGAAACUUGGAAAUUUCCUUAGGCUGCUAGUAUAUUUCUUAUUAAGGCAGAAAAAUGAAUUAUAAAACUUCAAUUACAUAUCCCUACUUAUACUAAACAAAACAAGAGUUUGACUCUAAUACAAAAACUUUGAAAGAAAGUAAAAAACAAAACUUUCCAAAAAUACCCCUACACAUAAUAUCCGAUUAACCCAACAAUCGUGUGCAAACCUUCUCCAAGAGCUGUGGGGUCCAGCGGGUUUGUUUCAGCCAAAUGUGUUGAUUGUUGUUGGGCCUGGUGUGGUUGAUGAGUUGAACGAUCAGGUCUAUACUACUGCUGAUAUAGGUGUCCGUAAUUCCAUGGGUAGGACCAACCUUGCUGAGUAGGAAAAAGACAUGGUGGUGGAGAGUAUGCAACCCAAUACGGGUAUGGGGCAUUACCCAGAGGUGCACCUGGAGGUCUGGUGCUGUGAUUACCAAAAGGAGCACCGCGACCACAAGUGUUGUUUCCGCCAUGACCACGGUUACUAUGUUUAUAGGGCGGCCAUUUUGGUUUAAUCAGGGUCGGUGAUUAUGGUUUGGAGGAGUUGGUUCAUCAGCUAUGGCGGUGUGUGUAGCAAUAAGGGCUCCACCAGAAGAGUUUAUGGUUGUGUUAUUGCUCUCUCGACUGGAUUGGAGAUGUUGUUCAAGUUGAAGCAUGCUACAUGCCAUUUCCCAUGUUGGCAGGCUUUGGUUGAUAAAAAAGCCACAAUAUCAAAUUCAGAGGGUAAGCCAUGUACCAGUUGAAGUACAAGACGAUUUUCUGUUACCAGACUUUCAACAUCGUCGAGUUGCGAGGCCAAAUCCUUAGGCAUUGACAGUAGUCUUCCAAUGAUGACAUGGUUGAGAGUUUGAGGUUGUUGAACUCAUGUUCCAAAGCUGUUGCAUGAGAUCCCUUAUUGUUGAGGAAGAUUGAUGAUAAUUUCUUCCAUGAUUCAUAUGUUGUGGUGUCGGGUUCCAAUAUACGAACCAGAAGAUUAUCAGAAAGUGCACCGUAUAUCCACUGGAGAACAAUAGUAUCAAUUUCAGACCAUGAUUCGUAUGUCGCAUUGUUAAGAAUAAUUCUGAAUUAUUGUGUUAUGCACAUUUUAUUUGAUGUUUGAAUAAAUCAAAGUUCCAAUGAGUGUGUUCCUGGUCUUUGGCAACUAGUCAAGUUAGUUCCUGUUUUUCAGCUAUGCUUUAAUAUAAGUAGAGAGGCAAAUGUACGUUGAAUGUAUUCCUAGUUUUAAUUACUUUUGUUCAGUGAAUAAAGUAGAAUACUUUGCCUCAUAUUGUUCCCUGUGUUUUCACUUGUCUUUUUUGUGUAUUCCUUCACUGUGCAGUUUUUUAAAGCUGUUUUUUCCAGAUUUGCCCUUCCCUGCUCCUUAUCAAAUUUGUCCCCUGUGCAGCUUCUCCUUUUGUUGUGUUACUUCCCAUUUUGGUAAUAAAAGACUUUAUUACCCCUGCUAUUUACCAACACUUGGUAUCAGAGCAAAGGCUGGUUGUUGUAUGCCAAAGUACCAAACUCGUGAAGAGAUGGCAGGAAGCAAUGGAAAUGGGGAAAAAGAGAGUCCAAUCACCUUUCACUACCCGAUGCUGUCAAGAAGCAACUAUUCUGCAUGGGCUAUAAAGAUGAGAGUUUUCAUGCAAGCCCAAGGAGUCUGGGAGGCAGUGGAACCCAGAACGGCCAACACAGCUGUGGAGAUCAAGAAAGACAAGUUGUCAUUGGCUGCUAUUUACCAAGGGAUUCCCGAGGACCUGUUGUUGUCCUUGUCUGAGAAGAAGACAACUAAGGAAGCAUGGGAUGCUUUGAAGGUGAUGUUCCUAGGAGCAGAUCGUGUCAAGACAGCAAGGAUUCAAACAUUGAAAGCUGAGUUUGAAUCCUUAAACAUGAAGGAAUCAGAAGGGGUCGAUGACUUUGCUGCCAAAAUAAGCAACUUAGUAAGUUCUUUGCGUACAUUGGGGGACACAGUGAAUGAGUCCCAUGUAGUGAAGAAGAUGCUUAGGGCAGUAUCCACUAAGUUUCUCCAAAUUGCUUCAACUCUUGAACAAUUUGGGGACCUGGAAACACUGACAACUGAAGAAGUCAUUGGGAGGCUGAAGGCUCAUGAAGAAAGACUGAAAGGACAUGGUGAAAGUGAAGAAAGAAAGCUUCUCUUAACCCACCAAGAGUGGACUGAGAGAAACAAGAAGAAAGGAGAAGGCAGUUCAAGGUCAACCCCAAAAGGAAAUUGUGGUGGGUCAUCACAGGGAAGAGGAAGAGGCCGAAGCAGGGGUGGUCCUAGUGGUGGUCGAGGUGGUCGAGGCAGAGGUGGUUCUAACCAGCAAAAAGAAAGAAGCCACAGACAAGAUAAAAGUGAAGUCCAAUGUUACAACUGCCAAGAGCUCGAGCACUAUGCAGCCGAGUGCAAGAACCCAAAGAAAGAAAGGAAUCACGAAAGCAAUUUGAUCUAGGAAGACAAUGAGCUAGCUUUGUUGUUGUUAUCCUUUGAAGCCAAAGAAGAGACAGGGUAAGUGUUCUUGAAUGAAGAAAAAGUCAUCCCCAAGCUAAGAUCAAAUGGUGAUGUUGCAAGUAACUCAAACAUGUGGUAUCUGGACACAGGAGCCAGCAACCACAUGACUGGAGAGAGAAGCAAAUUCCAAGAGUUGGACACCACAAUCUAGGGCUCUGUCAAGUUCGGUAACAACUCAAAAGUCAGAAUUAAAAGAAGGGGUAUGAUCAGUUUCCAAUGCAAAAAUGGUGAGCAAAGGAAACUAAGAGAGGUAUACUAUAUACCUGAGUUGUGUAGUAAUAUUAUAAGCCUUGGCCAACUCUCAGAAGGUGGAGAUGAAAUUAGAAUCAAGGAGAAUUUCUUGAGAAUAUAUGACUCCAGGAUGAGGCUACUCAUGAAGGUUCAGAGAUCACCAAACAGGCUCUACAAAAUCGAGCUCACAGAGGUCACUCCAAGAUGUCUUGUAGCUGAAAUAAAUGACCCAACCUGGUUAUGGCACACUAGGUUAGGUCACUUGAACUUCACUGCCUUGAAGAUGAUGUCAGAUAAAGGGAUUAUAGAAGGAGUGUCUAAAAUAAUUGUACCAUCCCACCCAUGUGAAGGCUGCCUGGGUGGAAAACAAACAAGAAAUCCAUACCCAUCGUGUACAACUUUCAGAGCCAAGAAGAAAUUAGAGCUGAUUCAAGAAGAUUUGUGUGGCCCUGUGUCACCUCCUACACCAGCAGGAAACAAGUACUUCAUGCUCCUGGUUGAUGACUACAACAGGGUGAUGUGGGUAUACCUGCUAAGAACGAAGGAUGAAGCUCUCUAGUCAUUCAAAAAGUUUUAGAGCAAAAGUGGAAAACGAGACCGGAGAGAAGAUUAAAGUCUUGCGAUCAGAUAGAGGAGGAGAAUUCUUGUCCAACCAAUUUACCAAUUAUUGCAGUGAAACAAGGAUCGGUAGACAAUACACCUCCCCAUACUCCCCACAAAAAAACGGGGUGGUGGAGAGGCAUAAUCGCACGGUGGUUGAAAUGGUAAGAAGUAAUCUAAUAACCAUGAAGCUUCCACACACGCUAUGGGGAGAGGCUGUGAGUCACGCCAUUUACGUAUUAAAUAGAAUAAGUACGAAGGCCUUGAAUGAUUCCACACCCUACGAGAUGUGGACUGGUCGCAAACCUCAUGUAGGCCACUUGAGGGUGUUCGUUUGCCUUGCACACGUAAUGAUUCCCAAGAAUCAGUUGAAGAAAUUGGACGAGAGAAGUAAGCGAGCAGUAUAUCAGCGGAAUGAAAAGGGAACAAAGGCUUACAUGCUUUUUGAUACUGUCACUAGGACAAUUCACGUUAGUAGAAACGUUGUGUUCCAAGAAGAUAAGGCGUGGAUGUGGGAGAAGGAAUCGAGAGUCAAUGGUACACCUGGAUUAAGCUUCACCGUUGAAGGAUUUGACUUCAACCGUGAGGGUAUCGAUGAUCUUGAAGGCACCAGAUCUAUUCAUGGGUCUACCCCAUCUACACCCGAUACUCACAUAUCCUCCGUCAAUAUGGACUGGACCAGAAGUGUAUCCCAACCCAAUACUGAUUCGGACCCUCAAAUAAGCCCACAAGGAAGUCAGUCAAACAACACGACUCCAUUAAACCCUCCGAUAACACCAAAUUCGUCCAAUUCACCAAGUUCGACUGGUGGAGGUGCUCCCAAAAGGUUUCGUUUGCUCACGGACCUCUAUGAAAAUACCGAAGAAAUCGAGCUGCCACCGGAGGAACUGAUGUUAAUGUGCAACGAUGACUAACCUGGGAGCUACAGUGAAGUGAUUCGAAAGAAAGAGUGGGUAGAAGCGAUGAACACUGAGAUAGCUUCAAUUGAGAAGAAUAAGACUUGGAGCUCAGUCGAACUCCUAGAAGGAAGGAAGCCAAUCGGAUUAAAAUGGGUUUUUAAGGUGAAACGUGACCCAACAGGAAGGACUAUGAAGCACAAAGCAAGAAUCGUGGCAAAGGGCUACGUUCAAAAACAGGGCAUCGAUUAUGAAGAAGUCUUUGCGCCAGUAGCGAGAAUUGAAAUAGUCCGGGUCAUUUUAUCACUUGCAGGCUCGAAUGGUUGGCAUGUACACCACCUAGACGUGAAAUCUGCGUUCUUGAACGGGCACCUAACUAAAGAAGUCUAUGUCACACAACCUCAAGGAUUCGAGAAGAAGGAUGAAUUUGGCAAAGUGUAUAAACUCUACAAAGCCCUGUAUGGCUUGAAACAAGCUCCCAGAGCUUGGCAUUGGUGUUUAGACAAGUACUUAAAGAGUUUGGGUUUUAAAAGGUGUGGUCAAGAAUAUUCAGUGUACAUAAGGUCAAAGAAUGGGAAUAAGUUAAUCAUUGGAGUAUAUGUAGAUGAUCUACUUGUGACAGGAAGCAACCCAGAAGAUGUGAAGGACUUUAAAAAAGAAAUGAAGAUCAGGUUCGAGAUGAGUGAUCUCGGCCUGUUAACAUAUUAUCUUGGAAUUGAGCUGAAUCAACAAGGUAAUGGAAUCACUCUGAAGCUGGAAGCUUAUGCCAAGAAUAUUUUGCUCAAAACCCGGAUGUUAGACAGCAAUCCCACCAAGAGCCCGAUGGAACAAAAACUCUCUUUGACCAAAGAUGGUGAUGAAGAGCUGGUGAACCCAACAGAAUACAGGAGCAUUGUUGGCUGCCUAAGGUAUCUUACUCACACUAGACCCGAUAUUACUUUUGCAGUUGGUGUUGUUAGUCGUUUUAUGGAAAAUCCCUAUAUAAAACAUCUCCAAGCUGUAAAGGGAAUCCUCAAAUAUGUGAAAGGGACCUUGAACUAUGGUCUAGUCUAUUCUAAAGGAGGUGAACAGGUCACUAUCUCAGGCUUUACAGAUAGUGACUUGGCCAAAGAUAUUAAUGACAAGAGAAGUACAUGGGGAAUGACUUUUUAUGUGAAUGGAAACUUGGUCACAUGGGCAUCUCAAAAGCAAAGGGUCGUGGCUCUCUCAUCUUGUGAGGCAGAAUUCAUUGCUGCCACCAUGGCAACUUGUUAGGGCAUAUGGCUAAGGAGACUUCUCACAGAAAUCACAGGACAAAAAGUACCACCUGUGACAUUGUUUGUAGACAACCAAUCAGCACUUGACCUGAUGAAAAACCCUGUAUUUCAUGGUAGGAGCAAACAUAUUGACAUCCGGUAUCAUUUUAUCAGAGAGUGUGUUGAAGAUGGAGAAAUUAUUGUUACUCAUGUGUGUGGGAAAAGCCAGAAAGCAGACAUUCUCACAAAGUCCCUAGCAAGAGUGAAGCAUGAAGAGAUGAGGGACUUAAUUGGAGUGAAGAAGGUUCAGAAUUAAGGGGGAAAAUGUUAAGAAUAAUUCUGAAUUAUUGUGUUAUGCACGUUUUAUUUGAUGUUUGAAUAAAUCAAAGUUCCAGUGAGUGUGUUCCUGGUCUUUGUCAACUAGUCAAGUUAGUUCCUAUUUUUCAGCUAUGCUUUAGUAUAAGUAGAGAGGCAAAUGUAUGUUGAAUGUAUUCCCAUUUUUAAUUAUUUUGUUCAGUGAAUAAAGUAGAAUACUUUGCCUCAUAUUGUUCCCUGUGUUUUCACUUGUCUUUUCUGUGUAUUCCUUCAUUGUGCAGUUUUUUAAAGCUGUUUUUUCCAGAUUUUCCCUUCCCUGCUCCUUAUCAAUUUUGUUCCCUGUGCAGCUUCUCCUUUUGCUGUGUUACUUCCCAUUUUGGUAAUAAAAGACUUUAUUACCCCUGCUAUAUACCAACACGCAUAACUGACUUUGGGUGCUGCACUUCCGUCAAUGUGAUGCAGAACUUUGUAUCUUUUUCAUGAAGCUUGAAUAACUUCACCCAAGAAGAAUAGGUAACCUUGAUGCCAUCAAGUAUUUAGACCUUAUGUUGGAUAUUGGUGACAGUGUACACCGGGUGAAGUGUUGGCUUUGUGCUACUUUCUGGUUGUUCUAUGGUCGACAUAUCUGUUGUGACAGGGGAUGCCGCCGGUAGUGAUUUUUAGGGUUUUGAGCCUUAGCUCUGAUACCAUAAAGGUUUAUGAUAAUCACUUGCAGAUCUUGUUCGUUGAUACAAGUAUAUAUACAAAUACAAGAACCGAAUCCUUAUAAUAAGGAAAGAAUCAAAUACAAUAAUCUAAAUAUAUACACUAUUUUUUAUUGAUUAAUAUAGUAAUGAUGGCUACAUACCUUCCAUGCAAUGCGAAAUACUAUACAUAAACUUGUGUGCAUCUACCAAAAUCGUAUUUUUAUGAAUGACUUUAAUAUAAAGUACACUGAGGAAUGACUAAAGACUUUAAUGGUUACUCAAAAUUACUAUUGAUGACUUAUCACGAAGACCAAAAAAAACUAUUGAUGACAUAUGAGAAAGACUCAAAAUUACUAUUGAUGACAUUUAAUGACUAACGCCUAAAGAGUUAUACAAUGUAUUUACAAAUGUUUCUUAUUACCCAAAAGUAACUCUUUGUACAUUACUCAUAAUGAUUUUAAUGAUAUUUCCAGGGUUCAUAUUUAUUUGAGAAUGUGCCAAUUUUUUGAAUUUUCAAGAUGUUGAACCCUUGAACCCUUUAUAGUUUGAUUUCAUUAUUUUCCUUGCGGUGGGAGCCUAGUGGUUGAGGUACGUAAUUCCAAACAGAAGGUCUACAGUUCAAACCAUGACACAUUUGAAAUAUUACUAGUGUUCCGUAAUUGAUUUCCCACAUUGGCCUUGGGGCAGAUUUACGUGGGCCGCUCAAAUGGUGUUGUUUACCUUUUUUUUUCACGAUGUUGAACUCCGGUGCUACUCACUAGGCUUCUCGAGCCUAACGUAUGUAUUUUGACAGAUUGAAGACUAUAGAGGAGGGUUGGAUAUUUAGAAGGCCACAAUUGAUGUAGUUCUUACUUGAGACUUAUGUGAUAUUAUCUUGAACACGCUCGUACUCUUAAACUUUUAGAUUGUAAACCUUAUUAAAAAAACUAAGACUGGGAUCAUUUUACGAAAAGGAUGAUUUUAAGAAUGUAAAAUGAUUUUAGACAGUUAAGCGUUAUGAGUGGUGUAUGCAUGCUUGUGAGGUACGGUGGGGUGAGAUUUUAUUUUUUAAUUUUUAGUUAUAAAAGUAUUAAAAAAUGUAAAAUAAAAAAAAAACAAAUUAAAAGGGUAUCAACAGAUUCAUUUGUAGUAAUUUACUUUAAUAUGUACCAAGUAACUUUAGACUGUAUUCUCAUAUAUAAUCAUAGGAGGCCACCACAGCAACAUUUUCAAAGAGGUGAUAAAGUGGAAGGCAAGUGCAGUUGUGUUCUCUCUUGUGCAAAUACUGGUUUUGAGGUCAUGGAUUCCUACUAACGAGUAAUACUAUUAUAUAAAUUUAUAGCUUAUAAACAUUCAUUACCUAGACACCAGCCGAAGCAAAGGUGUUCAAACUUCAAAUAAUCAAUACAAGAAAGCAAUACAGAAUUUGUUUCAUAACAGAUUCUAAGCAAUAAUAGAUUCAGCUAUGUUGCCUACCAUAAAUUUAACCGGUUUACAUAGUCUUAUUGCAUACAUCACUCUUUCUAAAUAAUCAGGUCCUACUUACGGAAGAUGAUACAAGCCUUCUUUACUGAAUUAUAAAGAAAGUAAUAGCAUGUAUACAUACAUUCUUCAACAGAGUCUAGCCACCUUCUGCGCCAGUAAGGAUUGACGUACAUAAGGGCAACAAAUCCCAAUAAAAACACAACCAAUGUUGAAAUAGAACUUCCAUAGAAACACACGAUAUCAAUUUCAUACCAUUUCUCAGUGCCUUGUUCUUCGAGAGAUGGAUGUGUUGUUACAUGUGGUUCAGUGGCACAUUUCUUCUCCAGUGGUGGUCCACAAAGAAGCGGAUUGCCUUGGUAGCACGCCUCUGUAAAGGUACCAAACUGCUGUUUCAUGUCUGGGAGUCUACCCGACAGAUUGUUGUGAGAAACAUUAAAAACUCCUAGAAAAGUCAGCUCAAUCAGUUCUGAUGGAACUUUGCCAGUCAAACCAUUUGAAGAAAGGUCUAAGCUCUCCAGUUUAGCAAGAUCUGAGAAGUUCACUGGAAUGGGUCCAGUCAGCUGAUUGUGAGACAGGUUCAAAGCAAGAAUCUGGGUCAAAAACCCCAGUUCUUCAGGGAUUUUACCUGUCAGUUUGUUGCACGAUAAAUCCAAUCCUGCCAUGUAAUCAAGAAUAUUGCCUUUGUAGGGACGAGACAUGCUUUUUGUUGUAAACUGAACUUCGUCUCGUGUUUCAAUCACUUCGGGAUAGAAGUUGAUAGAAAGCCCCCUCUGAGGAUCACUUCCAUCCACGUAAGUGAAAUCCGUGAAAGACUGACUCAUCAUUCUUUCAAUGAAAGCAAGGUAACGUGGGCCUGUAAUAUUUUGAAGGCAUCUAGGUAUUGAACCAGAAAGAGAGUUACUGGAUAAAUCUAUCAAACUCACAUUACUUAAUUGGCAUAAUUGCUUCGGAAUAGAACCGCUAAAGUUGUUAUUUCUCAAAACAAGAAUCCUUAAAUCGGAUAGUUCGCCAAGAAAUUCGGGAAUCCCGCCCGACAACUUGUUGUUGCCUAUGUCCAAAAUCAAAACCUUAGUCAAAUUACCAAAGGAAAGAGGAACUGAUCCAGUAAAUCUGUUGGAACCCAAAUAAAGAUGCUCCAUAUUUUGCAAAUUUAAGCAGGAUGGGAUGGGCCCGGAGAAAGAAUUCUGUGAGAUAUCCAGAAACGAGAAUGGAGCUGUUCCACAAGGAAACCGACCUUUCAAACUAUUAUUUCUCACCACAAGUUCAGACAGGUAUUUCAUAUUGCUUAACCAGCUAGGAAUGACACCUGUAAAUAAGUUAUUGCUAAUAUCAAGAGCUCUCAAACCUUCAAGAUUUUCCUCCCAGCUCUUAAUUCCGAUUUUCCCUGUGAAACGGUUGCCAUCUAAGUAAACCCAUUGGUGGUUACCCCAGCUUAGGUUUCCUGAGAGUACCUCCCCAUGCAAGUUGUUCCUUGAUAGUUUCAAUAUAUCCAGGUAAGAGAGGUUUGUAAACAAUUCCUUUGGUACUUCUCCUGAUAACUCAUUAUCGGAUAAAUCUAGUACUUGUAAUCUGCUCAAAUCACCAUAUGACGGAGGAAUAGCACCACUUAAAGAGUUUCUGGACAAAUUCAAACGAUUUAUGUUUGGAAAGAACUUUGGGAUAUUGUUUAGAAUAGUACCUUUCAUGUGAUUUCCAGACAAAUCCAACAACUUCAUAUUAGCAUUCCAAUACAGUGGAAAACUGUCAAAGGAGUUGUUCCUUAGAUUAAGAACUUGCAAAUUCGUAUUGUUUUCAAUCAACCAAUUUGGAAAAUCCCCCUCCAAGGAGUUGUGGGACAUGUCUAAUUCUAGUAACUUGUGUUGGUGAAGUAGAAACCCCGGAACAAGAUGUCCUUUAUGAAAAUUCAUAUUGCAAUUAGAUAGAGCAAGAACUUUCAACUGAAACUUUGGAAUCCAAUCUAUAGCCUCUUCUGUUUCCACCUCAAACCUGUCAUUGUCGCUUCUAAAUCGAACUACCUCAAGCUUUGUAAGAUUGCAGAAAUAGCUGAAUGAGAAUGAACCUUCAAAUAUGUUAUGACUAAAAUCAAUGUACUCGAGAGAUGUGAGAUUAGCAAUGAGUGAGGGCAUAAGUAUCCCUGAGAAUUGGUUUGAAGAAAUAUCCAACAACUUAAGAGAUGUUAGACUGUCAAAACACAGAGGCAGACUUCCAUGGAGCAUGUUGUUACUAAGAUCCAACUCCUGGAGAUUCUUUGACUCACAGAAUCCCGCCCAAAAAAAAAAAAAGUUGUUCGCUCAUUUAGGCAUCUGAAAGAGUAACUAUCGGGGAAAGGCCAAUUUAACCAUACCGUAACAGCAUUUCAUAUAUGCAUUUGUCCUAAAAAAUCCUAGACUUCUAAUCGUGCAUGCUUUAGAUAACUUACCAUCAUCAGAUAAUGAGCCAUUAAGACUAUUUUCAGCGAAUGAGAGAACUCUUAGGGAAGAUAAUCCCUGUAUUGUUGAUGGGAUGCUCCCAACAAAACUGUUUUCACUCAAAUCCAAGAUCUCAAGAUGACGGAAAGAUGCAAAAGCUAGAUGGAAACAAGAGAAGAGAAGGUUACUAAUUAAUAAAAACCCUGAAAAAGGAUUUGUUAUAAGUGAUGAUUAUUGAUGAAUGAAGCUGGUUAAGCUGUGGGGAAAAACCGCUACCUUCCAUUGGAAGUGUUCCACUGAAACCAUUACGUCUCAAGAGGAGGACUUCCAAAUCACGCAAAUCAUUAAACUCUGAAUUACAUAGAAGGACGUGUUAAACAAUUAGCAAGAAAGAGAAAUUAAUAAAUAAUAAUGAAGAUGAAAUAUAGUAUUUUAGUUUUUUAACGAUGACUCCUUUUGAGGUAAACAUGCCUUGGACAGGAAAGGAAGUUCCCAGUGAAGUUGAAUAGGAUAGAUCAAGAAUCUUGAGGGAUGGGAGGGCAGUUAAGCAUGAUAUGAUGCUCUUGUUGAAACUGUUACCAGAAAGAUUUAUACUCUCCAGCCUUUUCAUUCUUGAUAAGCUCUUACAGUCUGCAAAAGGGAAGGCAAUUCUUAAAGAAACCAUGCAUGGUCUUAUCAAGCAUGUAACUAUAAAUCUUCAUUUACCUUGGAUAUUGGGUGUGCCAAGGUACCAGGUAUUACUUAAAUCCAACUUCUUUAAGUUAAUCAGAUGAGCUAAUUCUGUCAUAUGAAAGAAAAACAUAUAUCACACAUCAUGCUUGCUAUUUUCAUAUGUACAUUUUGAAGCUAGUUUGGUGCAUUAUAUGUUCGCUGGUAUUUUUACAUGAUUGUAACUAGGUACCCUUAUUUAACGUGCAAUACCAGUUCACCACAAUAGGCAUUAUAUUUUGAUAAAUGUUUUUCAAGGGAUGCUUAUAUAAGUAAUUAAAAGAUUAUAGGUGUUUCGGUUGCGUUAAUCUAAUUAACAAUUAGAUAUAUGUUCACAAACACUGUAUAGAUAUGCGUUCUCAUGUAUCACCGUAAAUUGGAAACAAUGGAAAAGCUCUUUCUGGAGAACAUAUAUGAAGUAUAAAAAUACAUCCACUUUUACUUCUGUUAUGCAUUAGUCAAAAGAAUUAAGACUCCAUUACAUUUUUCUUUUGUCCAAUAAAAGAAACAGGCCAUAUUUCAAAUUUCAAAACCUGGAAGAGUCAUUCUGUUAGGGUCGACUUGUAAUGUCGCAAAAGGUAAAUUUGUGUAUGAAUCCAAUGUGAUUAUAUAUUGGCAUGAUGGGUUUAAGAUGACAAAUUGAUUACCUUGAAUCUCAAAGGUAAUAUUAAAGUAACAAAAGCUUAGAGACAACACCUCCAAGUUCUCUAAAGCUGUAAAUUUUGCAAUUCAUGUAAAAAGGGUGUAAUUAGUACCUUUAAAAUAUGCAUUUCUACAUGAUAAAAAAAAGGAAUGAAAGAAAAGACAAGAACAUGCCACUGAUAGGGUAGUUUCCAUUCAAGCCUGUGUGGCUAAGAUCCAAGAUUUUGAGUGAAGUGAGUGUACUCAAUGAUGGAAGAAUGUCGUUAUCAAUAUCAUAAUUCAAACUGAGGUCUAGUAUCUCCAACUUUUUCAAACUCGACAACCUUUCAAGUCCUGCAAAAGAAAAAAAAAAGUUUUUUAUCAAAGGCAUCCUAGUCUUUUGAUAUUUUAGGGACUACUUUCCGGGCACAGAUAGUAGUUAUAUACAGAUAAGAUUCGGCAUGAAUUGCAGCUUCUGAAGUAAAGACUUGUGUUUGGUCUAUUUUUACUUAGAGCAACCGUAAUUUUAUUAAAAUAGCUAAAGGCCAGAAAAAGAGGGAAGAAAAUUACAUCCCAUAUAUUAAUUGGAUGUUGAGUCUAUGAAUUUGAAAAAAAGAUGAUGUUGGAACCGGAUGAAAAAAAAUAACUAAAGCAAUUAAUCACAUUGUACUAUACCUGUCUUCAUAAUCUCUAAUUUAUCAAGAAAAUCAUAUGAUAGAUUGAGACUUGUCAACUCUCUAAAAUGAAGAAACAAGGAAACAUUCAAUGGCCACAACUGGAUCCCAAGCUCCAUGUUUUCAUCUACCAUUCCUCUCAAAUUGUACAAAGAAAGCUCUAUGACAUGCCCGGUGGUUGUGUUGCAGUUGACCCUCUCCCAAUCACAACAAUCGCUGCCACCAUCCCCAGGGGUACUACUGCCAUAAUCAACCCAAGUAGGGAGAAAAUCGUCAAUUUCAGAAUCAUAUGACUUCAUAUGGGAGGCCUUGAUUUCGAGUAGCGCCUUUCUCUCCUCUACUAUACAAUCUCCUUGUGUUUGCCCGACCAUUAGAAUAUUUAUCAUCAUCAACAUCAAGGACCGAUAUACCCAUGAUUUACUCUGACUCACAACCCAACACUCCAUUUUAGUAGCUAAUGAUGACUUUAUAGAGACACAAACUUCCGGUUUAGUUUGGUUUGGUUUUAUUUGCUUGGUAUAUGAACAGAUAUGUAAUGAGGCAUGGAAAACAAUUUAUAUGUGAUAAAGUGAAUAUGUUUGAAUAUUAAUUGCAUAAUUCUCCGCCAUUCAUCAAGUCAAUGGUCGAUCUCCACACAUAACUCUAUUCCAUCUAUUCCAUUGUCAACCAUUCCUUCAACUUGUCCCUUUUGGAGUAUCAGGUAUGAUACAGUUACACUCCCCAAAACUUAUGAUUCGACAUUUGUUGACUUUUCAACGAACUUACAAGUCUCCAUUCACAUAGCAUAUUUUUCAAUUGCUUAUAUAAACAAAAAUAUUUAUUAGCUAAACAUUAAUAUUAUCACAAUCAUUUCUUUUACAUAAUUUUCAUUCAAGAUUUCUAAAGUAUAUAAAUAAUCCUAAGAAGAAUUUGACAAAGAGAAUGACUAGUGUAAUUAAUAGAUAUUUUUAUUUAAGCAUUGAAUUCCUGUACUCCCUUCUGCAUUUCAAGCUUAUUGUUACUCAAAAAGACCACUUAAAACUUGAGCUCUUACACAGGUACCCAACAAUAUUUAUAAGCUAAUGGCUGGUUAAUAGGUAAGCUGAUUUACACCAUGAAUCUCAUAGGUAAUAAUUUUUGAAGAACAAACAAAAGCAUAAAGGGUCCGAUAUUAAGAGAGUUUUGUAUCAAUCGACACAUUUGUAAUAAUUUACUUCGAUAUAUUAGAAGUUAUUUUCAAAGAUAAAGAUUGUAAUUUCAAAUAUUAUAUUAGAAGGCCACAGCAUCCUACUUAUGAAUAAAAAACGGAAGUACUGAUUAUCAUUCAUUUAGAACGAUAUUAUAUUUUGAUUCUCAAGUUUAACAUAUUUUUUCAGUUUUGGUACAAGAAAGUUGUCUUACAAAUUUAGUCCUUAAUUUGACGUUUUUAUAACGAUUUUGGCCAUCAUCUCAUAUAUACCUUUAUCUACUCUUUUUAUGAUAUUUUACUAUUAUGUAAAUUAUUGUAUACCAUAUUAUAUUAAGUUGGCCCCACCUCCCCCAUUCAUAUCCCCUCAUUUUUUAAAGCAGAUUCCUGAACCCUGAUGUAAAAAGUUAUGUGGAUCAUUACAGAUGACGCACAAACACAUAUAUGCCCACACAUAAAAAGAAAAUAAAAUCCACCUACCAUACCUUUGUAGACUCGCACAGCUCCUUGCGGUUCUCAUGGAUCGAUCAUAUCAAUUCCUGGUAAACAGCGAAUUGAGAGCCAUUGCUAGAGAGCACGAUAACCCGACAAUGAAACCGGCGUCAGCGAAUUUGAAAUUGCAACAACCCUAACCCGAUGAGUAUGCUUAACCUUUCACCUCCUUUCCUUUCCUCCUCGUCUUCCCUAACCACAUAACCAUUUUCACCACAAUUCACCGACGACGGCGAGGGUACAGAGUCUCGGACCUCGAUUUAGAGGGGUGGUAGAGGGUGAAGGCAGCGGCGAGAUGGUGUGUGUGUGUGGGUGGGUGGGGGGUGUUCAUAGUGGAUUCUAUAAGCGUGACGCCGUCGAGUCGACGGAAGAGGAACCGGAGAACAAACGGAGGGGUGGGAAGGGUUUUAACUGGAAAGGGAAAUGGAGGAGUGCGGUAAAAAACAAAGGGAAAUGCAUUUUCUAGGGUUUACCCGAGUCCCUUAACUAGAUGAUUCUUUUAGUUCAUAUCAACCUAUACUAUAAUAGUCGGUUUAGUGACAUUUUAGAUUAAAAAAACUCAUAGAGGAUUCUUAUAAAGCCAAAAAAAUAAGUUUGGGGAUCAAUUCAUACAAAAAAAAAAACUCUGGUUUUCUUCUAAAAUCAAUUCACACUUAAUUCGUAUUGAUCCCCGAACUUAUUUUUUUUUUAAUUUAUAGGGUAUACUGUGAGUUUUUUUUUAUCUAAAAGGUCACUGAACGGGCUAUUACAGGUUGACAAAGACUAAAAGACCAGGUCAUAUCCUAGUUUAGGGAUCUAUAAAGCCCGACAAAAGCUUUAGAGACUGAACGGGUAAGCCUUAUAAACUUCGUAGGGCAUUUGUGUUAUUUUCCCAAAACAAAAUAGAAUAAAGACUAAACUACAAAAAUGAUCCCUGUAUUAGUAUGACUUUACAAAUUUAGUCCUAUUUUUCAAAUUUGUCAAAAUUGGUCCUUAUUUUAGGUUUCGAUUACACAUUUCGUCAAUAUCUUUGUUACUUUUUUAUUGAAUCCGCUAACCACCCUCAUGUGCCCCUCAUAUGAGGGGUAUUUGAGUCAUUUUACUACUUUCCAAACCAAUGAUCAUCUUCUUUUAUCACCGCCAUCCUUCACCCAUCUUGAGUAAUUUCUGGCAAUCUUCUUCUCCCACAACCUUCAUAAUCCUUCACUUUUUCCAACAACCACCCUAUCGUUAAAUUUUGGCAACCCUCUCCCACUUCUAGUUUUUUUUCCUUGAACAAACCCAAUUUGAAGCUAAUUUAACGAAAGGAAACAUCAUCCUAAAUGUUCAUUUCCUUCCUUUUGUAUGUUAAUUGUGAAGAUCAUUCUUUCAUUGAUUUUCAAGGUAACAAGUUACACAUUUUAAGGAAGUUUCUCAAUGUAACAAGUUACUAGGUUAUAUGCUCAAAAUUGUUGUUAUAACAAGUUAUUCGACCUAAACCAUGCAAGUGAGUGACUCUUGGGGCCAUUAUAACAAGCAUAUGCAAACUAUAUUGCACGUUGUAAAUUUAUGAAACACAAUUGCAUGCCAUCUUUCUUUAUGACGAGGGUUAAAGACAUGUAUUUGCAUGUCAUUUGUCCCCUUUUAUGACACGUAAUGUAUGUCAUUAAAGACAUAUUUUAUAGUGGUGUAUAACAAACUAAAUGUGAAUAAAUUCAAAGUUGAAGGAGUUAUAUGUAAAAGAAAUAUUCAAAUAUAUUUGGUGUUAAUGAAUAUUUUAACAACAUAUUUGGUUUAUGAGAAAUUUAAUGUCCUCCUACAUUUUAUUCCUACUUAUCUUCUUAUCCUAUAAAAUGUUGACAUGUGGCAUAUUUAAUGACAUAUAUAAUGAAAUUGAUAAUAUUUUAAUCCACUUAUCACCAUUUAAUAUAGGUAGAAGAAUAUUAGGAAUAAAAUGUAGGAGGAUAUUUAAUUUCUCUUGGUUUAUACCAUUUAUCAAUAUCAUAUUUGAUGUAAAAAAUUAUGUUGCAUUGAUGCAAAUUUACACCAAGAAAAAGUGCAAAUAUAGGAUUUACAAUUCAAUUGAAAAUUCCUCAAAUCAAGUUAUUUUUUACACUUUUUCAAAAUAAAAUAAAAAUAAAUGUAAUUGAUAAAUGCUCCAGAAAGAAAUUUAAAAUAUCUAAACAUAUAAACCUCUAAUUUAAUAAAGACAAAAUUAUGUGAUGUAGUCUUGUGGUUUGUAACGUCAUGAUUUUCACAACUAAAAUUUUCAUUUUUAAAUUAAGUAAAAUCAUUGUUUCUAAGAAAAACCAAGUCAUGAAACCAUAAGUAUUAAAAUACAAUCAUCCCAAAAAUCAAAGUAUCAUAACAAUACGAAAUCAUGAAAGAUGUUGAUGAGAGUGUACAAUCUAGCAUUCGUCUUCUCACAAUCAUAUUAAGUACCUAAAACACAUUUAAAUCCACAAACAAGUGUGAAGCUUAGUAAGUUACCCUAAAUAUCACAUACAACACAACAUAAUAAACAACUAUGGGCUAUCAGCAACUCGAGGACUAUCAGCAGUCCUAUGGGCUCUCAACAGCCAUAUGGGUUAUCAACAACGACUAUCAGUAGUCCUGGAGUUAUUAACAACUCAAAUAACACACAUAACAAAAAUCAACAAAUAAGACUUAGUUAGUCUAGCAUGCACCCCAUUAUGACAUAGGUAAUAUGGUGAGAAUACUCACCUUGUAUAUAGCAGCUUGACACAACACAACAUUACUCAAAUGGUGAAGACCGACCCUAAGAAUCACCUAACUAACAAUAUAAAAAUUUCACUCUUAGUCUACACUCUAUAACCCCCAGGUUGACCAAAAGUUAACAUGGUCACGAAGUCAAUGGUCAAAGUUAGCGGUUAAAGCUAGCCCCGGCCAACCCCUAUAUCGUAGAUACCAUUUGGCCACACUAUGGCAGCAUUAGGAUAAAAUCAGUCGCAGGAGUGUCCAUCACCACAUCAUGGUGGUCAAUCCACCACGUCAUAGGAACAUCUCUAGACAGCUUAAUGCAUUAAGCUCUUAAUCUUUCAAGCUAUACACUCAAACUUUCUAAAAGGCUUUAUUCACCCCAAAGCAUCAUAAAAAUCGCUUUAUAGACAUGCAUGUCUUGAUCUCAAGUUAUAUCAAUAUGGAUAAAAAAGAGAUCGAGAUCUCAUGUAUGAACCCAAAAUUCAACAACUCUCCAGAUAUGGGAAACUAGACCACGAAGGAACUUUAAGAACCCAUAAAACUGCCAACUUUAUGGAGUAUAUACGAGUAACCCACCCCAAACAUGGAAGAAAUUGGAUAAAAACCUAGAUCUAGCAUUCUUGACACAUAAAGGUAGGAGCUUGAGGACUUACAAGAGUCUGAAAACAACACGGGAUGUAAAAAAAAAAUAUUAUAUAACAUUAUAAGUAACAAAUAUUAUAUAUAGAAAUUUAUUAUACAAAUAAUAACCUACAUGCGAUCCAUUUGUAAAAAAAAAAAAUUGGAGCAGAUUUACCCAGCAAAAUAAUGCAAAAAAGAAUAAUUUAGAUUUCGGGUUUGUGACGCCCUUAACAAGUUUUAUUAUUAUUAUUAUUAUUAUUAUUUUUUUUACAUAUUUUUAAUAAUAAAAUAAAGACAAAAAUUAAAUGAUAGAACUAUAUAUCUAAAGAGAAUAAACCUUAAAUUUAGUUAAUAUAAUAAACAUAUUUUUAAUGUAAUAAAAGGUUGUUGGUUUAUUGAUGGGCCUGAGCCAAAUUCUUUUAAGUUUUUUUUUCCCUUUUGCUUGGCUCUUGGGUUCUUCACACAAAGAAAUCGAUUUUGGUUUUGUAAAAGGACGAUUAGGCAGAAGAAAAUCACGAAUGAACGAUAAAAUAAAAAAUUACAAGGAGGUCGAUUCAGUGCAAAACCUUUUACAAAUGUGGUUAGGUUCUUAUACUUCUGAUUCACUCACAGGGUAGUUUGUAAAUUGGAUUUGUGAACUUCGUUUAUUGGUAAAUUUUGAGCAAUUUUGUAUAGAAGCGUUGCCGAACUGCUAGGGUUGACACCAAAUCUAGGGAUUUUUCCAAAAUCGUUCUAAUAUUUUGCAUAUCUUUUCUUAAUCAUUUAAUUGGAUACAUAAAUAUUAGUAUGUAUUUGGAGCAGAUGAUGUUAAAUAUUAAUAAUUUUUUCAAUGUUUAGAUGUUUUUCCUGUGAUUAGCUAGUUUGUUUCAUUAUUAACAUCGAUUUAGAUCUUUAUAUGUUUAUGUGUAAUCUACUGCUGAUAAUGAGAUUGAUAAUUACCACUCUGUUUUAUGUUCUCACAAAAUUGAAGUAUAUGGCUGGAGAACUUAACAACCACUCCAAGUUAUUGAAUAUUCUUUACAGAUUUAAGCAUUAGGUUCUGGUAGGACUAAUUAAGACAAACUGUAAACCAUCAGCAUUACAUCGAUGGUCAUUAAAUCAGGAUUUCUGCUCAUUGGUAACAUGGAAUAAUAGUGGUUUGUUUAUUUAGAAUCGUUGAUAUUUGUAUUAAACAACCAUCAAAAUAUUACAUCAACACCAACACCCAAUACUGCUUUGUCUUUUAUUGGAUUUCACAAGUAGUUAAUGCAUUACAUGUGAUUACGAAGUUAUAUCAUUAAAAUUGUAACGUAACAUUUUGAAUAAGCAACUUAGUACAUUUGGGUUACCUUUUACCUAUUUAACUUAAUUCCUGUUUUUUCUAAGUUUCAAAAUUUGACUCAUUUGGGUCGUAGAUGUAAAAUAUACUAAAUUGAUUUGUUUCUAAGUAAAUGAGUUGAACUCAGAAUUUGCUUUACGAAAAUGUCGCAGUUUAUUUGAUAAAAAAAAAAUAAGUAAUCUCUACUCCAUUCAUCACAUUUAUAGUGUUAGUCGAUCUUUAAAUUCUUUAUUUUAUCAGGGGAUAAACCCAUCUUGUAAAAUCAUGUGGUUUGCCUACAGACAUAUUUUAGUUAAUUCGGAUUUUUACUCAUAUCUUUAAUGCAUCAAGAACCAUGCUUCUGAGUUUUAAAACACCUGAUUGGGAGGAAUCAACAUUGCAAACAUCAUAGAUCCCUAAAGCUAUUUGAAAGCAAGGCCCAGGUUAUUGAUCUGGAAUCCUGAUUUCCGGAUGUUUAGGAGAUCAACAUGUAAUGUUGGGUAGUGAUCAGGAGGCGAUUCAUUUGAAAAAAAAAUUAGGAGAAUCUUUUUUUAUACAUCAUCAUACAUAUGAAUACACAUACAAACAAGUUUGCAUUUAUUUUAUCACGCAUUCUAAUGGAGGUCCUGCUUAUGAAUGGUCAGGGAAGGCUUCCUUGCCAGAUCAGAAAGGGAGUAAUAAAAUGUAAACAUACAAUCUUCAACCCAGUCUAGCCACCUUCUACGCCACCAAGGAUUGGUGUAAAGAAUUGCAACAAAUCCCGAUAAGAAGACAAAACAUGUGGAACUAGAACUUCCGUAGAAGCAUGCCAUAUCGAUAUCAUACCAUUUCUCAUUGUCUUCUUCUUCAUCCGAUGGAUUGGUCAGCUGUGAAUUAGUAGUUGUGCAUUUCUUCACGAGUGGUGGUCCACAAAGAAGUGGAUUCCCUUCAUAGCUUGCCUCUGUGAAGGUACCAAACUGUGCUUUCAUAUCUGGGAGUCUGCCUGAGAGAUUGUUGUGAGAAACAAUGAAAGUAGAUAGCGAGGUAAGCUUAAUCAGUUCUGAUGGAACAUUUCCGGUCAAACUAUUUGAAGAAAGGUCCAAGCUCUCUAUUUUUGCAAGAUUUGAGAAGUUCACAGGAAUGGGUCCAGUGAGGUGAUUGUGAGACAGGUUUAAAGCACGAAGAUGAGUUAAGAAUCCGAGUUGUUGUGGAAUUUCACCGGAUAGUUUGUUACAGGAAAAAUCCAAUCCUGCCAUGUAAUCAAGGAUGCCACCCUUGUAGCUGAGAAAGAGCCUUUUUGUUGUGUAUUGAACUUCUAAAUUGAACAACCUCAAGCUUUAUAUGAUUGGAUAAGGAGCUGAAGGAGAAUGAACCUUCAAAUUUGUUAUGACUAAAAUCAAUAUACUCGAGAGAUGUAAGAUUAGCAAUGAGGGAUGGCUUAAGUAUCCCUGAGAAUUGGUUUGAAGAAAUAUCCAACAACUUAAGAGAUGAUAGAUUUUUCAAACACUGAGGCAGAGUUCCAUGGAGCAUGUUGUUGCUAAGAUCCAACUCAUGGAGGUUCUUCAACUCACACAACCCUGUCAAACGACCAAAAAAAAAAAAANNNNNNNNNNNNNNNNNNNNNNNNNNNNNNNNNNNNNNNNNNNNNNNNNNNNNNNNNNNNNNNNNNNNNNNNNNNNNNNNNNNNNNNNNNNNNNNNNNNNNNNNNNNNNNNNNNNNNNNNNNNNNNNNNNNNNNNNNNNNNNNNNNNNNNNNNNNNNNNNNNNNNNNNNNNNNNNNNNNNNNNNNNNNNNNNNNNNNNNNNNNNNNNNNNNNNNNNNNNNNNNNNNNNNNNNNNNNNNNNNNNNNNNNNNNNNNNNNNNNNNNNNNNNNNNNNNNNNNNNNNNNNNNNNNNNNNNNNNNNNNNNNNNNNNNNNNNNNNNNNNNNNNNNNNNNNNNNNNNNNNNNNNNNNNNNNNNNNNNNNNNNNNNNNNNNNNNNNNNNNNNNNNNNNNNNNNNNNNNNNNNNNNNNNNNNNNNNNNNNNNNNNNNNNNNNNNNNNNNNNNNNNNNNNNNNNNNNNNNNNNNNNNNNNNNNNNNNNNNNNNNNNNNNNNNNNNNNNNNNNNNNNNNNNNNNNNNNNNNNNNNNNNNNNNNNNNNNNNNNNNNNNNNNNNNNNNNNNNNNNNNNNNNNNNNNNNNNNNNNNNNNNNNNNNNNNNNNNNNNNNNNNNNNNNNNNNNNNNNNNNNNNNNNNNNNNNNNNNNNNNNNNNNNNNNNNNNNNNNNNNNNNNNNNNNNNNNNNNNNNNNNNNNNNNNNNNNNNNNNNNNNNNNNNNNNNNNNNNNNNNNNNNNNNNNNNNNNNNNNNNNNNNNNNNNNNNNNNNNNNNNNNNNNNNNNNNNNNNNNNNNNNNNNNNNNNNNNNNNNNNNNNNNNNNNNNNNNNNNNNNNNNNNNNNNNNNNNNNNNNNNNNNNNNNNNNNNNNNNNNNNNNNNNNNNNNNNNNNNNNNNNNNNNNNNNNNNNNNNNNNNNNNNNNNNNNNNNNNNNNNNNNNNNNNNNNNNNNNNNNNNNNNNNNNNNNNNNNNNNNNNNNNNNNNNNNNNNNNNNNNNNNNNNNNNNNNNNNNNNNNNNNNNNNNNNACACAAGGAAACUUGUGUUAAAUUACAAACCGUUACUUAGGUUUUCCUACAUAUAUAUAUAUAUAUAUAUAUAUAUAUAUAUAUAUAUGUAUAUAUAUAUAUAUAUGUGUGUGUGUGCGUGUGUGUGUGUGUUUAUAUUUUUCACUUAGAUGCGGUUAGAAAUAACUAUUUUAUAUAUAUGAAUCUGAAUACAUUUUCUGUCGCUAAGUUUAAAAUGUGACUGAAUUUCUAGAACUAUGCAUUUUCAAGACGUGCCUUCCUUUUGUGAUGUCAAUUUUGUAAUGAAUGUGAUUUCCACAUACCAAAUCUUUUUCAUGCAACUAUUUUUGUGAUGCCAAGUUAUAAAAAGUAACUGCUUAUUUGACAUCAUAAAGAUAAAACAUUAUAUUUUAUUUUACAAAUUCCAUAAAGCAUAUACAACUGAAAAGCUAUAAAGAUACAUAUAUGUAAUUAUUAAAAAAAAAAAAGUAUAAGUAUAAGAUGCAGGAAUGAUUUUACUAUCAAGUUGCACAUUCAAUAUGUUUAGUCAACAUUCACUUUAGUGUUUUAAAUGUAAAUUUAAUGCAUAAAAGAACUAAUGAAAUCAAUAUACUAUAAAUAUCUACCCAUGACCAUGAAAAAUUAUUUUAUAUGUAUCAAUUAUUUAAAGAUAAUAUUUCUGUCUUCUGUAGAUAAUAAAUGAUAACUACAAUUACAUAGAAAUUCAGACAUGUAUACUAAGUUUCUUGGACUUUGUGUCCCUCAUUCUGCAGGAAAUUUCAUAUCGGCACCACUAGUUUGAAACAUAAACAAAAGCCCCCCUCAAUGUCACCUAUCGCGUCUCUCUAUUAACCAAGCCAAUGCAACCGAAACACUUAUACAUCUCAAUGUGUGAAGAUCACACAUAGACCAUAGACAUGACACAACAUCCCACAAACACUCUAUAAAUAUAGGUUCUCAUGCAUCAUACCAAAUUGAAAACAAGAUAAAAUCAAUCAAGUUCAUAUGGUCUAAAAAUGAUACUCAAACAACUAUGGAAAUAAGUAUAUACAGUCAUAGGAGGUACCUUGAGCUGGAAAUGGUCCCGGCAUUUGAUUGUAGCUAAGAUCCAAGUUUGUAAGCGAUGAAAGGGCUUUUAGAGAUGUUAUGACGCUUUCAUUAAACCAGUUGCCCGCAAGAUUUAAACUUUUCAAUUUCCUCAAUAUGGAAACCCUCUCAGAACCUACAUUUAGGAAUCCAAUCGAAUUUAUAAGCUCUAGCCAGUUUCAUACAGCCACAGAGCUCUGAUAAGCCCCAACUUAGCAUGGAUUGCUUUUAGUUGAAUUGCUUUAUUAUAGUUAUUUUAUUGUCUGUUUUGGGUCCAGGGGUAGUUUGGUCUUUUUUAGUAUUAUGUCUGUUAUUGGUUGUUUGUUAUGUUGGGAGCACUAACUUUGUCCCAGGUCUGUUUUAGGGGACCACUCCCCUGAGUCAUGUCUAGUUUAAACUUUAAAUAUAUACCCCUGCAGGUUUUUGUUUAGGUAGCUAAGAAUUAAUUUGUAAAAUGAACUUUGUUCUUCUUCGAGAGUCCAUUCCUCUCAAAUGAAUGGGAAAACCCUAAUCUAUCUUAUCAAUUCAUAGUUUCAUUAUCAGAUUGUAUGCAAGAAUGAAUAAGGGUCUAUCAAUCUCUUUUGGAGAACGUAUACAAGUACAUAUCUAUAUCCGUUUUAAGCAUUGUAAGGCUUCCAUUAAAAGAAUUGUUUAUUAUAUCAGACCAAGUGACUUGAUUGUAGUGUAUUGCAGUAGUAAUAUCUCUACCACAGAUAAUCAAGUCCUUAUUGCGAUUUUUCUGUCCCAAGUAAAGAAAGGUCAUAUUUUAAAUUUCACACAUGGAUGAGUCAUUCUGUUAUGGUCUUGUAAUGUUGCAAAAGAGGGAUUUGUGUACAAGUCCAAGGUGACUUUAUUGGCAUGAUGUUUUUAUGAUGAUAUUGCUUACCUUGAACCUCAAAGGUACCAUUGAAGCGACAAUAGCUUAGAUCCAACACCUCCAAGUUCUCUAAAGCACCAAAUUCUGCAAUUCAUGUGAGAAGGAUGUAAGUAUCUUUAAAACAGGCAUUUAUGCAUGUUAACCAUAAAAAAGAAGAAACGAAAAAGACACAAACCUACCAUUGGUAGGGAAGUUUCCAUUCAAGCUAGUGUCGCUAAGAUCCAAGACUUUGAGUGAAGUGAGUGUCUUUAAUGAUGGAAGGAUGUCGUUAUCGAUAUCACGAUUCCCACUAAGGUCUAGUACCUCCAACUUCUUCAAACUCGACAGCCUUUCAAGCCCUGCAAAAGAAAGAGAAUUUUUUAACACAGGCAUCCUAGCCUUUUGAUAUUGAAAGGGCAACUUUCUAAGCACAAUUGGUAAAUACUAAAAAGCUGUAGCAUGAUUUGCAGGAUCUGAAGUACACAUAAAGUCUUGUGUUUGGUCUUUUAUAUAUAGAAAAACAUUAUCCAACCAUUAGGGUUCCUAAGAAGCGUCUUUGAGUGCAUAAAUUAGUUGGAUGUUAUGUUCACGAAUUUGAAUAGAGUCGACUUACUGGAAUGUUUUGCUCAAAAAAAUAUGAUGUUGGAACAAGGUGAAAGAAAUACUAAUUAAAGCAAUUAAUCAUGUUGUACCUGACUUCAUGAACUCUUUAUCAAGAGAAUUCUGUGACAAAUUGAGACUUGUCAACUCUUUAAAAUGAAGAAACAAGGAAACAUUCAAUGGCCACAGCUUGCUUUCAUCCUUAUACCAGUAAGCAUCGAACCCUAUCACCCCUCUUAAAUUGUACAAAGAGAGGUCUGUCACAUGCACUGUUGUUGUGCUGCAGUUGAUCCUCUCCCAAUCACAGCAGUUGCUGCCACCAUCCCCAGGGGUACCACCACCAUAAUCAACCCAGGUAGGGAGAAAAUUGUCAAUUUCAGAACCAUAUGACUUCAUAUAGGAGGUUUUGAUUUCCAGUAGUGCCUUUCUCUCCUCUUCUACGCAAUCCCCUUGUGUAUGCCCAGCCAUUAUUAGAAUAUGUAUCAUCAUUAACAUCAACAGCCAACAUAGCAAUGAUUUAUGCUUACUACAAGCCCAACACUCCAUUUUAGCAGCUAAUGGUGGCUUUGUAGAGACACUCACAACAUUAAACUUCCUGUUAGGUUUGGUUUGCUUAGCUUUGCUUGGAAAACAUUUGAUAUAUGAUGAAAUGAAUAUGUAUGAAUAAUAAUAAUUUCCACACAUAAGUCAUCAAGUCAAUGCUCAAAAUUUCCAUACAUAACUCUAUUCCAUCUAUUCCAUUGUCACUUUGUCAGUGACUCCUUCAACUUCACCCUUUCCCUUUUGGAGUAUGAUACACUCCCAAACAUUUAUGACACGGCAUUUGUUGACUCUUCAAUUAAUGAACUUCUAAGUCUCCAAUUGCCCUAUUAAAUUUUUGGAAUUACUUACAAAAUCAAAAAUAUUUACUAACUACACACUAAUAUCAAUUACAUCAUUUCCAUUUAAUUUUACUGAAGUAAAUAAACAAACCUAAGAACAAUUUGACAAAGAGAAUGACUGCUGUAAUUGAUAGAUAUUUUUAUUUACACGUUUAAUUCAAAAAAGAGAUCAAUACAAUUUUUUUUAUACAUUUUGCUCUUGCUUUAUGUACUUCUCAUACUCCAUUCUGCAUUUCAUGUUUAUUUUUCUCAAAAAAGCCACUUAAAACUUGAGUUCUUAUAUUGGUACCCAACAAUAUUUAUAAGGCCGCUACAUCCUACUUUUGAGUAAAAACUGAAUAACUAAGUAUCAUUCAUUUAAAGGUAAAUUAUAUUUUGAUCCUCAAGUUUAACUUCUUUUUUAGGUUUUGAUUCAAAAAAGUUGUCUUACAGAUAUUUUAUUAUUUAUGUAUUGUAAUUUAAACCAUAUUAAAUUCAGUUGACCCCACCUCCCCCAUCCACGUCCCCUCGUUUUUGAAACACUUACGCAGAUUCAUGAUGGUGAAAUCAGAUGUGAAACUGAAGAGUGAGGGUUGAUCUUAAUUAGAUGAGCCUUUUAUUGUGUUUGGCAAAAAAAAACUUAUGUAUUACUUAUUAGCUUAUAGCUUAUUGGCUUAUAAGCUAAUAAGUUAGAGGGAGUUAACUUUUGUAUACUCGUAAUGACCAGACUCGCUAACCUCCUUGUGAUUUCCAGGGACGGGUUCUAUAAAUUCCUGGUAAACAGCCAGAUGAGAGCCAUUGCUAGAGAUCACCGUACCCGGAAAUGAAACCGGCUUCGAUUUUGAAAUUGUAACAACCCUAACCCGAUGAGUAGGCCCUUUCGCCUCCCUUCCUUUCCUCCUCGUCUUCUCUAACCAAAUGAUCAUUUUCACCACCAUUGGCCGACGACGGCGAUGAAACAGCGUCUAAGCCCUCAAUUUAGAGGGUUUUGUAUCAGUGGUUAGAGGUUGCAGACAGGGGCGAGAAUGGGUGGGAGUCAUAGUAGGUUCGAUAAGCAGUACACCGUCGACGCUGGACGGAAAGGGAGCGGAGGAUUAACGGAAAGGUGGAAAGGGUUUUAACGGGAAAGGGAAAUGGUAGAAUUAGGUUUGGUGGGGUUGAAGGGCGGGGGGUAAAAAAUUAGGGCUUAGCUUUUCAAAACCAAAAGUCCUUUUUGGAAAAGAAAAAAAAGCAAAAGAUGUUUAGCAAACUGGUUUUAAAAGUAACUUUUGAAGUUUUUACAUAAGGAAAAACAACUUUUUGGAAAAGUCAGGAAAUCCUGACUUUUUGUAACUUUUUCAAAAAGGACUUUUGGGGUUUGAAAAGCUAAGCCAAACACCCCUAAAUAUUUUUUAUCACUUAACUUUUGUGCAUAUUUAGCCACUUAACUAUUUUUAAGUUUUGAAAUAACAUCAAACUUUUGCCUUUGUGCUCAUUUAGUCACUUAAUUUUUAGUUUGGUCACAUUUAGUCACAUAACUUUUAAAAUUAUGCUCAUUUAGUCACUAAACUUUUAAAUUUCUUUACAAGUUUGGUGACUAAAUGAACAAAAAUUUAAAAGUUAGGUGACCAAAUGAGCACAAAUCUAAAAGUUAAGUGGCUAAAUAUGACCAAACCAAAAGUUAAGUGACUAAAUGAGCACAAAGCCAAAAAUUUGAUGACCUUUUGAAACUUAAAAAUAGUUAAGUGACCAAAUAAACACAAAACCAAAAGUUAAGUGAUCAAAAAUGACCUAAACCCUUCAUUAAAACUCAUAAAAAAAAUUGAAGCUUUUAAAUUAGACAAAAUUACAUAAAUGGUCCUCAUGGUUGACAAAAUCGACCAAUUAUGAUCCUUAUGACGAAUUCUUUACACAGAUGGUCCCUGUGGUUUCAAAAUCUUGCAAAGACGGUCAUUUUGAUUAACGGCGUUAACUUUUUCAGUUAAGUCCUAUGUGAAAUGACAUAUUUGCCCUUCAUGCAUAAGGACGCUUUAUGUAAUAUGUUUCUACCACAAGGACCAUUUAUGUCAUUUCACAUAUGACUUAACUGAAAAAGUUAACGCCGUUAAUCAAAAUGANGGAAAGGGAGCGGAGGAUUAACGGAAAGGUGGAAAGGGUUUUAACGGGAAAGGGAAAUGGGAGAAUUAGGUUUGGUGGGGUUGAAAGGCAGGGGUUAAAAAACAGGGGAAUUAGAUUUUUUUUAUCUCUUAACUUUUGGUUUUGUGCUUAUUUAGUCACUUAAUUCUUUUUAAGUUUUGAAAAGUCAUCAAACUUUUGCCUUUGUACUCAUUUAGUCACUUAACUUUUAGUUUGGUCACAUUUAGUCACAUAACUUUUAAAAUUAUGUUCAUUUAGUCACUAAACUUUUAAAUUUCUUUACAAGUUUGUGACUAAAUGAACAAAAAUUUAAAAGUUAGGUGACCAAAUGAAUACAAAUCUAAAAGUUAAGUGACUAAAUAUGAAUAAACCAAAAGUUAACUGAUUAAAUGAGCACAAAGCCAAAAAUUUGAUGAUCUUUUGAAACUUAAAAAUAGUUAAGUGACCAAAUAAGCAUAAAACCAAAAGUUAAAUGAUCAAAAAUGACCUAAACCCUUCAUUAAAACCCAUAAAAAAAUUGAAGCUUUUAAAUUAGACAAAAUUACAUAAAUGGUUCUCAUGGUUGACAAAAUCGACCAAUUAUCAUCCUUAUGACGAAUUCUUUACACAGAUGGUCACUAUGGUUUCAAAAUCUUUCAAAGACGGUCCUUUUAACUAACGAAGUUAACUUUUUCAGUUAAGUCCUAUGUGAAAUGACAUAUUUGCCCUUCAUGCAUAAGGACGCUUUAUGUAAUAUGUUUCUACCACAGGGACCAUUUAUGCCAUUUCACAUAGGACUUAACUGAAAAAGUUAACGCCGUUAAUCAAAAGGACCGUCUUUGCAAGAUUUUGAAACCACAGGGACCAUCUGUGUAAAGAAUUUGUCAUGAGGACCAUAAUUGAUCGAUUUUAUCAACCAUGAGGACCAUUUAUGUAAUUUUGUCUUUAAAUUAUAUUAAAUUCAAUAAAAAUUACUUACUUUUGGUCGAUGAAAUCAAAAAAAUUAUAGGUUUUUUAAAUUCUACUAAAUUUUGUGUCCAGGUGAAUUUCUUUGGCCAAAAACAAAAAACAAAUAUUUUAGAUUUUGUUUUUUAUGUUUUAUUAUAAAGACAAUGAAGUGUUUGAGACUUUUUAUUUAAAUUGAUAAAUAUUUUUUAACUUAUUAAUUUAUAACGGUACGAAAAUAACUUAUGUGGUGUCAAAACGCUAUAAGUUGAUUAACACUUUCUAGCGUUUGGUAAAAUGACCAAAAAAAUGUUUCAUAAAGGUAUGAGACGACUAUACAUUAUAAGGAGUUUUGAUAAGUUAAAUGGAGUAACUUAUUAAAAAUAGUUUAUCCCUGGUUUCAUACCACUAUAAGUUGUUUCUAAAAAGCUCUUUAUCAAAUUAUUCAUUUUAACUUAUACCGAUAUGAAAUCUGUAAUAAAUUAAAAAAAAAAAAAAUCAUUUUUAAGCUUAGCCAAACACCAUCGAUAUAUCUUCUCCUAGCACCUAUUCAUCCUAACCAUUAUUCAUUAAAUCAAAAUAUAUUAUCAUCAUCUCUCCCACACCCCGCCCGUCCAUGUAUCCACAACACACUAGGGAUGAAACUGGGUUCAAACCCAGACCAAAUGGACCUAGACCUGGAAAACCCAGAAUCGAUUAAUGGAAUUUUGUAGAACCGGAAAUUGGACUGGUAUAUAGGAACCAGUUCCGGGUACGGUACCGGGUAAAAUGUGUCUAGAACCGGAAAACCCAAAAACAUCAAAGUGAGUAGGUUGGAACCGAAUAAAGUGAGUUUAAAACCAAAAACCUAAAAAAAACCGAAAUUUUUUUGGCAGUUACUUACUACUUAAUGGGUUGAACUCUGAAAAUUUUCAUAUUGAUAUCUCAAAUUCGAGGGACUGUAAGUCAUUGAAUAUGAAACUAAAAUUGACAAAAUUAUAGUCUAAAAUCAUGUACAAACUCUAAACUACACUCCGGGAAAACCCGCAUGUCAAUCCGACUUGAAACGAAUGAGAUAUGCAUGUGUUAAUGUUUUCACAUAAUACAAAGUACUAAAACAAAUAGCUGAAAAGUUGAAAAUUUUCAGCUUUGAUAUCCCGACUUCGGAGGAUUGUAAGUCAUUGAAUAUUAAACAAAAAAUAAAAAAUUAUAUUCUAAAAUCAUGUACAAACUCUAAACUAAAAGUUGGAAAAACUUCAUGUUAAUCCGGCUUCAAACAAAUUAGAUAUGUAUGUUUUAAAACUUUCACAGAACACAAAAAGUUGAAAAACAAAAAACUUAUAGCUUUGAUAACUCGACUUUAGGUGACUAUAAAUCAAUGAAUAUAAAACUAAAAAUGACAAAUUUAUAGUCUAAAAUCAUGUAUAAACUCUAAAAUACACAUUGGAAAAAAUAUGUAUGUCAAUCCGACUUAAAACGAAGGAGAUAUGCGUGUUUUAAACGUUUCACAGAAACCAGAUCCGACCUCUAAAAGUGGUUCUAGUUCCGGUUCUAGGACCCGACGGACCCAAACCCGGGCUACCCGAAACCCGGAUAAAGCUAAUUUUUAAGUCCUUAACCGAAACCGAUUCUAAAUAUUUCGGUUCUAAGGAUUCUGGUUCCGGUUUUAAAUCUCAUCCCUACAACACGCCCCACUGUAACACCCACACAUGUACACACACCCUCUUGCCCAACCCCAAAUGUUAUUUAGAGGGGUGUGUCUUCAAGUUACAAACAAGGGAAAUUGAGUAAUCUAAUUAUUUGAAAAAAAAAACAAUUUUUAGCAAAAAUAACCAUUUUGUCCGAAAUAGACAUUCCAGAAUAAGAAAAAACACGUUUUUUGACUAAUUCUGGACUACGGUUCACAUUUCGGACUAAAAAUUCGAAUUUUAGGGGAAAACUAUUAUAAUUUCAAGAACAAGUCUGAAAAUCCGAAGAACAAUUUCGGAAUUUCGAGAAAAAACCGUUUUUACUUAAAUUUAACAAAAUGUUAAACAAAUACAGUAAAUAUGGCUAUAUAUUCAACAAUUAUAAUGGCGCUAUUUUUUUUUCUUUCAAAAAAGUCACUCAUAAUUUUAAACGGUUUUAGAAAAAAAAAAAAAAAUUCAUAUUUAAAUAAAUAUUUAAAAAAAUAAGAUUUUUAACUUUUUUCUUCAGAGUAUUAACGUAAUUUUUUACCAUGAAACACAAUUUCUUAAUAGCUAUGGGAGUGAAUGACUUAUUUUUUUUGUUAAAACUACAUAAGAUUGGAAAUUUUGAUUUUUUAUUUUGGAAAAUACCAAACCAAUUGUUUUUUAUUUUGAUUUUGGUUUUUCAAUAUUUUUUUAAUAUUUUAUUUGGGGUUUUGUUUUGUUUUGUUUUUUUUUAUUUUUUUUUUAUUUAUUAAUUUAGUAAAACAUAAUACAAGAGGAAGUUUGUUCACAUUUAGUCAUUGAAUUUUCUUUAAAGGGAAACGAACUUUCAACUUUGUUCAUAUUUAAUCACUAAAAUUUUUUACAUUCUUUAUUUAUCACUGAACUAUUGAAAUUGUUCACAUUUUACUCUUAUGAACAAAGUCAUUAUCCUUAUUGAAAAACAAUGAUAUUAAACCCUUAUAAAUAGACAUUUCAGACAUAAUUGAUGAUAUUAAAAAAAAAAUGGGAAAAAACCAAAAAACAAUUCCGAAAUUUGAAGAUCAAACUCGGAUGGAGCAUUUCGGAAUAGAUCAUUCUUUGAAAAAAUUGAAAAGUAGUUUGGAAUGUGAACAAUAUUUGUAAACCAGGCGUAUUUUAGGUGCAAUAGAAAAACCUUAAAAAAUGGUUAGAUUACUUAAUUUCCCUAUUUUAGGUUCACUAAAGUUCUUAUGGCUUUUGUAAAAUGUUGAUGCCGUGAAAGUAUCCGUUGAGAAAGGACAUGCACUUUUUGGUAUCAUAGACUCCUAAUUAAUAUGGAAUUUUACUAGAGGUGUUGAUAACGGUGCAUAUAUUGCUCAUAUCUCUAAGGAAUCAGGAACCAUGUGUAUUAACUAUAAAAGACUUAAUUUGGUUAGAUCAACAUUGGGAACCUUUAUGAUUCAUAAAGACAUUCUACCAAAAAAAAAAAAAUUGUAAGAAAUUCCAAGGUUAUUGGUCAACUAGGAAAAGGAUGGAUGAUUACUGGAAUCCCGAUUUCAAGAUGGUUAGGUGAUCAACAUUCAUCAAUGUUAGCUUAACCUUUAUAGGAAAGGACUGAGAAAAGGCACUUAAGGAGCAACUGUUUAUAUACUUUUUAACAUAGGUUGGGAUGUGCUUGAUUUGAAACAUGGUUUGUUGACCACUUCAACUUCAAAGUUUGGGAAGAUGUGCCUACAAACUGUGCUCUAGAGGACCCAAAUGCUAUUGCUGGAGCAGUUGUUCAACUACUCAACCGUUGGUGUUUACUUGUGAGGAAUGACAUGACAAAUAAAUAAUUUUCCAUCCUUUUUGUACCAUAAAUCAAUGUAAGUUUAUUAAAGCGGAGAAAUAGGUGUAAGUUCUAGUAACUUGUUCAAUUUUGCAACCUACCAUAAAUCAAAUUAUUUUGCGUCAUAAAAGAGAUGUAGAAACACUUAAAUCACUAGAAUCUUCUAAUGCAUCAUCUGACGUAUAUAAUUAUACUAGUUGUAAAACUCAUGUAUUACAUGAGUUAAUUUAAAGAAGAAAAAGUUAAAUAUAAAAGUCAAAAUAUUUGAGAACUUUGAAUUUAUAAUAAAAUAAAAAAAAUAAUGAAUUAUCAUAAUUGAAAUAUUUUUAUAUUUUAAAUUUAAACAAAUAAUUUAUAUAAACAAACAAAAGAAACUAAUAACCUUUAAUUUGAAAUUUUUGAAAUUAAAAGGUAAGUUCCUUAAUGAAUUGAUAUCCAUUUAUUGCAAUUAUUACAUUAAAAUAUUAUAUGAAAAUUAAUAAAAUAAAAAAACUCAUAAAAUGACAUGUGAAAAAAAAUAAUUCAAAAUAACUAUAAAGUGACAUUUGGCAAAUUGAAUGAGAGCGUGACAUGUGGAAAAAAAAACUUAGUAGAUAGAAAAACAUAGAAAUAUGAAUACAUAUGGAAACAAGUUUGCAUUUAUUCUAUCACAAAUUCUUAAAGAGGUCCUAGCUACAGAAGAUCAUAGAAGGCUUCCAUACUAAAUCAUAAAGGAAGUAAUAACAUGUAUAUAUACAAUCUUCAACCCAGUCUAGCCACCUUCUACGCCACCGAGGAUUGGUAUAAAGUAUUGCAACAAAUCCCAAUAAGAACACAAAACAUGUCGAACUAGAACUUCCAUAGAAAUAUGUCAUAUCAAUAUCAUACCAUUUCUCAUGGUCUUCUUCGGCUGAUGGAUUGGUCACCUGUGGAUUUGUGGUGCAUUUCUUCUCCAAUGGUGGUCCACAAAGAAGUGGAUUACCUUCAUAACUCUCCUCCGUGAAGGUACCAAACUGUGACUUCAUUUCUGGGAGUCUGCCUGAGAGACUGUUGUGAGAAACAUUGAAAAUAGACAAGGAGGUAAGCUUAAUGAGUUCUGAUGGAAUUGUGUUGGUCAAACCAUUUGAAGAAAGGUCCAAGCUCUCUAUCUUUGCAAGAUUUGAGAAGCUCACUGGAAUGAGUCCAAUUAGUUGAUUGUGAGACAGGUUUAAAGCACGAAGUUGGGUUAAAAACCCGACUUCUUCUGGAAUUUCACCUGUAAGUUUGUUAUUAGAUAAAUCCAAUCCCGUCAUGUAAUCAAGGAUGCCACCCUUGUAGCGGAGAAAGAGACUUUUCGUUGUAUACUGUACUUCGUCUUGUAUUCCCAAGGCUUCACCGCCAAGGAAGAUUGUACGCAACCCCCAUAUAAUACUCUCAUAAUGGUAAGAGGAAUCAUACGAAUACAAUGAUUUGCUUCUUUUUAAGAAAACAAGGUCACUUGGGCCGGUAAUAUUAUGUAGGCAGCUAGGUAUUGAGCCAGAAAAUGAGUUAGCGGAUAAGUCUAUGAAACUCAUAUUACUUAAUUGACACAACUGCCUCGGAAUAAAACCGUUAAAGUUAUUUUUUCUCAAAAGAAGAAUCCUUAAAUUGGAUAGUUCGCCAAGAAAUUUAGGAAUCCUGCCUGACAAGUUGUUGCCGAUGUCUAAAGUCAAAACAUUAGUCAAAUUACGAAAGAAAUUGGGUAUUGAUCCAGUGAAUCUGUUGGAACCCAAAUGAAGAUGCUCCAUAUAUUGCAAAUUUGAGCAGGAUGGGAUGGGCCCAGAAAAAGAAUUUUGUGAGAUAUCAAGAAAUGAGAAAAAAGCUGCUCCGCAAGGAAACCUGCCUUCCAAACUAUUAUUUCUCACCACAAGUUCAGACAAGCUACUCAUGUUGGUAAGCCAAUCCGGGAUCAAACCUGUAAAAAAGUUAUUGCUUAUAUCCAGAAGAGUCAGAGAUUCAAAUUUUUGUUUGCUUUUAAUUCCAAUUUGCCCUGUGAAAUGGUUGCUAUCUAAAUAAACCCAUUGGAGAGUACUCCAACUUAAAUUUCCUGCGAGUAUCUGGCCAUGCAACUUGUUGUUUGAUAGUUUUAAGAAACCCAAUUUGGAGGUGUUUGUAAACAAUCCCUUUGGCACUUCACCAGAUAACGCAUUCUCAGAUAAAUCUAGUACCCAUAAUUUACUCAAUUCACCAACUGAGGAAGGGAUAACACCACUUAAAGCAUUCAUAGACAAAUUCAAAAUACUUAUGUUGGGAAAAAACUUUGGUAUGUCAUAUGGAAUAGUACCUAUCAUGUGAUUUUGAGACACAUCCAACCACUUCAUAUUAGCAUUCAUAUGCAGUGGCAUACCACCAAACAAGUUAUCACGUAGAAUAAGAACUUCCAGAUUCGAAUUGUUCCUAAUUAACCAAUUUGGUAAUUGUCCCUCCAAGGAGUUGUGAGACAUGUCUACUUGUCGUAAAUUGUGUUGGUGAAGUAGAAACCCAGGAAUAAUACGUCCUUUAGGCAUUUUCAUAUUACAAUUAGAUAGCUCAAGAAUUUUCAACUGGAACAUUGGAAUCCAAUCUAUAGGCUCCUCUGUUUCCACCUCAAAUAUGUCAUUGUCACUUCUGAAUCGUAUUGUUUUCAAUCAACCAAUUUGGAAAAUCCCCCUCCAAGGAGUUGUGGGACAUAUCUAAUUCUAGUAACUUGUGUUGGUGAAGUAGAAACCCCGGAACAAGAUGUCCUUUAUGAAAAUUCAUAUUGGAAUUAGAUAGAGCAAGAACUUUCAACUGAAACUUUGGAAUCCAAUCUAUAGCCUCUUCUGUUUCCACCUCAAACCUGUCAUUGUCGCUUCUAAAUCGAACUACCUCAAGCUUUGUAAGAUUGCAGAAAUAGCUGAAUGAGAAUGAACCUUCAAAUAUGUUAUGACUAAAAUCAA